rnacentral:lncRNA from 1 species
GCUUUGAUCUCCUCCUCAUUGAUCACAACCCCUGGUUUUGGGAGGUACUUGCUCACGUUGGUGCCCUUACAGCCCCCAUCAGGAGAUGCCUCCAUCUUGAGUUCAUAAGAGAUCGACUCGACCUUGUUAGCCAAUUCGCCUACUUCCAUCAUUAACUAGCUGCACGUCAUCUUCUCCUGGUCUAGUGCAUCGAUUCUAUGCUUCACGUACUUCAGAGGACUGCCUGUACUUAAAGGGCAAUUGUGAAAUUACUAUUGUCGUUAUUAUUAGGUGGAUCGUCGAGAAUCUCUCUACUCUAGUUAAGGAUAGGCAGGAAUACAAUUGAUCUUCAUCAUCUUGCGGGUAAAUAAGGAGGUUGCAUCCUUGUGUUGAAGAAAGGAGUCCUUCAAAGCUCAAGAUGGCAUUCCAAUGAGAUAAUGUCGAUUUUGUCUUAUCAUAUUUCAAUUUUAUAUUGUCCCGCCCCUCUUUUUUAUGUACAUGUGUGUGCGAUGCUCAUAGGGAUCCAACCUAGGACUCGAUCCUCCCCCUAAUCCUUCUACCAGCGGACCACAUGCCUGUUGGCAUCAUACCUCAAUUGACUCAUCUAAUACUGGAUAUUCCCCACUUUUACUUGCAUAACAAUCUUCUAACAACUUGAGAAGAAAUAGUGCUGAGAUACAUCUUAAUCAUUAAAAUUACCUCACCUUAACCGAAGUUCAUCUGCUUGAUGCUCCCAGGGCCUCCGUCACCAUGGAUGAGCUCCAUACUCUUGAUGGCUUGAGGCAUGAGCUUGGGCAUGAGAGUAUCACCGUCAACGAUCAUUGCCUUGAACAACCUUGGCGCUGGGACGGGGUUGCUGAAUUCUUCGGUGAAUGUAAUUGGAGCACUCAUGAUGGAUCUGAUGGGUUUAGUCUAUGACUUGAUGGGCCUAAGUGGACCCGUCUGCCCAUGUUGGGCCUAAGAACCCCACCCGUAGGUUAAGGGCCCAUGGAGGAAAUGUUGCGUCUUUUGGAGGAGGUGUUACGUUGAGGGGAUGCGUCCUUUGGAAGAGACGCUUCGAGGGAAAGUAAAAAGAAAAAGGAACAUACCUUUUGGGGUACGUAUGUGAAGACUCUCUCUCUCUCCCUAAUACGUUUAAGUCUCUCUCUCCCAAAAAGAAUGUAAGUUUUCUCCCUUUUUUGAAGCAACAGUACGCUCUUCGAUAGACCGGAUCAGGAUUCUUCCUCGAACUUCAACAUUGGUGUUUAAUCUAUGGACAAUAAGGCACGCUCGAUUCCGUGGUGUAUCUUUGAUUGGUGAUACAUGUAAUUCUUGGGCUCGUCUUCUACAUUUGUUUUAGGGGUUCGAUUUAGUGUUGAAUUUGUUUUAGGGAAUUUGUUAUUCCCAACAUUGGUAUCAAAGCAAUCGUUCAUGUUUCCUGAUCCCUUUUCAUGGUUAUGAUUUGUUUUUGAUUGAAUUUUCGUGAAACACCGCCAAUAGCCGAUCGAGGACGGAAAAAUCCCGACACCCACGUACUUUCACCCUGUUUUGUGAUUUUCUACAAGUCGAAAUUCAUUUUUGAUAGCGUAGGGUUGAAGCUCUUGUUGAUACGAGAAAAACGAGUCGUGGAUCGCUGCCGGGUGCUGUCGGAUGCGCCCCCACGCGCGGUCGGAACGAAGCAUGUGCUGAUUCGGGCGCCCUCGGGCGUGUGUCGCACGCGCCGUUUUGGCCCCAGGCGCAUGUGACGCAUGCGUGGAGACCUAGCGUGUGCCGCGCACGCGCCAGCUGACGUUAUAGUGACGUUAGCCAGGCACGUGCGUGGCAUGUGCCGGUCGAUUUGUCCGACCCGGCUUGACCUGAUCGGACCUGACUCGUUGACCCAUUGACUUCAACCCAUUUGACCUUUGACCGUUGACUUCGACCAUUGACAAAAAAAAAAAAGAAAAAAAGAAAAAAGAAUGUGUUUCUUUUUCCAAUUAAGUCUAUGUGGAUUAUAUGUAAUCCCUUAUUUGUUCUACAUUUGUUGCAGGAACAAUGCCUCCCCUUAAGUUGUGCACACCUAUUCGCGCAAUUACCGAUGAACAAAAUAAAAUGCUUUCUAAGUUGAUAGCUGAGCUGACUGAUUAUCGAUGGGAGAGUGGCGACUUAAUUGAUCAUGUUCUUGAAGUCAAUGGGAAAAUACAAAAUGUCAUAUGGAAUGGUCGUCCCAUGCCACAAUCUUAGAUGGUGCGAUUUUUUAUGAACAAUUUUCCACCAGAAUGGCAAGGAGUGUUGAAUUGCUUAUGGGAAGUCAACAGAGCUACUUCGUAUAGGGUUCUUGUGAUAGCUUUUAUAGAUGAAUAUUACCGAAUUGUUACAAAAGAAAAGAUCAAGAAGUUGAACAAAAAAUGAUCUUUCCCAGUUCAUAUAUUGACUUGGUGUUAGAUGUUUUGACUAGUCUUUAUUUAGUAUGCUUUAUGGACAUAUUAUGUAAAUGUUUUCUACCUAGUUGUUGUUGGUAUAGCAACUGAUAUGUUAGUUGCAUUAUGUGAAAGCAUUAUUUUUCUAUCAUUAUUGGAUGUCAAAUAUUAUUUGUUUAUGUUAAUUGUUAGCUGUUGUGGGUAGUUCAUAGAAGUUUUUGUAGCUUCAAAGAAUUUAUUUUUCAUAAAAGAUUAUAUUAAUAAUAAUUCCAAGUUAGGAUUUUUGGAUGAUGAUUGGAAACAUAGUGACAUUUUGAUUCUGAAACCUUACUUGAAAUUAUUCAUUAAUAUGAUGGGUUUGUGCAAAAUGGAUGCAUAAAUGAUAUGCAUUAAUAAUUCGUGCAUAUAUGCCUGAUAUGUUUAGAUCAAUGGCUUUAGCCACAAAGAGCAUAGUUGCUGAGCUAAACAAAAGUGAGAAGCUCAAUAAUGAUAACUAUGAAAUAUGGCACAUGAAAAUCCAGUAUGUGCUAGAAGAGCAAGAGGCACUAGAAGCUCUUAACCUGACCAUGGUAAAACAUGAAGAAGAAAACACUGCGCAGUAUAAGAGAGACAAUGAUGCAUUUGCUACAUGGAAAAGAAAGAACUCCCUUGCUCGCAUUACGUUGUUGAGUAUCAUGGAAAAUGGCGUCAUGCGAGAGUUCAGGCGUUUUGAGAAUGCCAAGGAAAUGUGGGAAGCGUUGGUAGCAAGAUUUGGUCAUACUUCGGUGACUAGACUGAGACAACUCACUAUUAGGUUUGACUCUUACAAGAAGCCUCAUGGUUAGAUUAUGAAGCAACACCUUAGAAAGAUGUCAAACAUGAUUAAUGAGCUGAAAGAUGCUGGCUAUGUCCUGACUGAUGAGCAGUAAAUGCAAGUAGUGAUUCGUUCAUUGCCUUAGAGUUGUGAGCAUAUGAAGGUGUGCCUAACCCAUAAUGAGAAUAUCAAAACCUUUGAGGAUGCGGUGCGUCAUCUUGAGCUAGAAGAGGAUCGCCUCUUGGCGGCUAAGCUUGAAACUGAAAUUUAUCAUGCUGGUUCUAGCUCACAUGGAGCUUCGAGCUCCAAGCGCAAACGUUCUAACUAGUUCGAUAAAAGGAAAGGCAAGGGAGCAAGUUCUUCAAGGAAGAAACCUAAGCUUGACCAACAUGAAAGAGGAAAGCGUCCUCGAAUGAAGAAGCUACCAAGGGUGAAGUGUUAUAAUUAUGACAAGAAUGGUCACUAUGCUCGUGACUGUCGUGAGCCAAAGAAGAUAUACACCCCUUGUAUAUUUCAGAACUUUGCUUAUGUGUCAAGUUUUGUAUUCUUAACCGAGUUUAAUCAUUUGUGGACUGUGGAUUCAAGAGCGACAAACCAUGUAGAGAAGGAUAGAAAUCUUUCGUGAAAUUCCGAUGAGUACCAACUGGAACUAAGUGGAUCUAUGUAGGAAACAAUUCUAGAGCAGAAGUAAAAGGGAUUGGCACCUGCCAAUUGAACAUGCGUGGUGGAUGCACUUUGUUCCUACAUGAUGUAUUGUAUGCUCCGGAGAUUUAUUGGAAUUUAGUGUCUAUUUUAGUGUUGGUUAAGCUUGGUUUUAAUAUGAACUUCCAUAAUAGUGGUGUGGAUUUGUAUUUGGAUACAAAUUACUAUGGUUGUGGUUAUUUUCUAGAUGGUUUCAUUGUAUUAAAUAUUGACUAUGGUAAUGCUAAUGUUUGUUAUUCCAUUUUCACGUCCCAUAAUUUAUAUGAUAAUGAUGUGAAUGUGUGGCAUGCUAGACUUGGUCAUAUUGGCCAACAACGUAUGAAUAGACUAGCCAAAUAGGGCUUGUUGGGCAAUAUUGAAAAAGUCGAUUUGCCCAUAUGUGAGCAUUACCUAGUAGGGAAAACGACAAGGAAACCAUUUGGAAAAUGUAAAAGAACUGAAUUUCCUUUGCAUUUAAUUCAUUUUGAUGUUUGUGGUCCGAUGAAUGUGAGAGGAAGGAAUUGGGCUGUUUAUUUCAUCACAUUUAUAGAUGAUUAUACUUGAUUCAGAUAUGUCUAUUUGAUUUCUCAUAAAUCUGAAGUAUUGAGUUGUUUCAAAAAGGUUUAUGAACUUGGUAGAAAAUUAAUUAGACAAGAAAAUAAAAGUAUUGAGAUCCGAUUGAGGUCGAGAAUAUUUGUUUGAUGGGUUCAGAAAGUUAUGUGAUAAAAAAGGAACAGAAAGACAGUUGUCUAUUCCAUAUACUUCUCAACAAAAUGGUGUUGCGGAGAGAAGGAAUAGAACCCUAUUGGAAAUGGUUAAGUCCAUGAUAGCGCAUGCUAACUUACCUAUAACUUUUUGGAGUGAUGUGUUAUUAAUUGCUGCCUAUAUAUUUAACCGAGUGCCUUCCAAAUUAGUUACUUCCAUUCCAUAUGAGUUAUGGACAAGUAGAAAAUCGGACUUAAGUUUUCUUAAACCAUGGGGUUGUGCUGCCUAUACUCAUGAGCCCUCUCAUAAGUUUAGGAAAUUGGGUCCCAGAGGAAAGAAGAAUAUUUUCAUAAGAUACUUUGAAUACUCGAAAGGGUAUGUGUUCAUAGGUGAGUAGGAAAGUUGAAGUAUAACUGAAUUCGAAUCAUGAGAUGUCACAUUCUUAGAUAAUGAAUUUCCUAAGAAUGGCGAAAUAGGUGGGGAUUACUCCCUAUUUGAAAUCUUGGAUCAAGAUGGAGUUCGUCCAAGUGGGAGUAACAUGAGAAGUGAUGAAUUUAAUUCAACUCACUCUCAAUUACAACCACAUGAUGAGAUGAUAUCGUCAUUAUCUAAUUCGAGUGGGAGCAUGAUGAGGAAUGAUGUGCAAAUUGUACAAUCUCCCAUAUGGUGAACAAGUCACAAAAGUAUUCCCCGUCGACAUUUGACAUUGAAUGUGAAACUUUUAUGGUUGCUCCACAAGGUGAGGAUGAGCCAAGAAAUAUUAAUGAGACUCUAAAUUGCCAUAAUAAGGAAAAAUGGAUACAUGUAAUGGAAGAUGAGAUGGAGUUAAUAAAGUUGUUUGGGAAUUGGUUGAUUUUCCCAAAGGACGCAAAGCUAUUGGGAACAAAUGGGUUCUCAAAAUAAAGCGUAAAGCUGAUAGCUCGAUAGAAAGGCAUAAAGCUUGCUUUGUGGUGAAGGGGUAUAAUCAAUAGGAAUGAAUUGAUUAUGAAGAAACACUUUCUCCUGUAGUGAGAUUUACCUCAAUUUGCAUUAUGCUAGCAAUAGUGGCAAGUAUGGAUUUUAAGUUAUAUCAAAUGGAUGUAAAAACUGCUUUUUUCAAUGGAGAAUUAGAUGAAGAAAUAUAUAUGGAACAACCUACUGGUUUCAUAAUGAAAGGUUAAGAAGAAAAUGUAUGUCGACUUUUGAGAUUGAUAUAUGGCCUUAAGCAGUCAUCAAGACAAUGGUAUAUACGUUUUCAUAAUUCCAUAAUGGCAUAUGGUUUACAAUGAUUGAUGAGAAUCAUUAUGUAUAUAUCAAAAGAUCCAAAGAUCAAUUUGUGAUCAUAUCAUUAUAUGUUGAUGAUAUACUAAUUGUCGGAAGCAAUAUGGAGUUUGUUGAUACUGUCAAGAGUUGGUUAUCUUCCAACUUUGAGAUGAAAGAUAUGGGUAAGACUGCAUACAUCCUUGGAGUUAAGAUUUCAAGAGAUCGUUCGAAGAGAUCAUUAUCUCUUUCGCAAGAAACAUACAUAAAUCAGGUUCUUGAAUGAUUUCGUAUGCAAUAUUGUAAAGCCAUUAAUACUCCUAUUGCAAAAGGUGAAUGAUUGAGCCAUAGACUAUGUCCAAGGACUCUACAAGAGAAUGAACAAAUGAAACAUGUUCCUUAUGCUAGUGCUAUUGGGAGCUUGAUGUACACUAUGAUGUGUACAAGACUUGACAUAUGUUUUGUAGUUGGAAUGGUGAGUAGUUACCAAUCCAAUCUAGGUCAAGCACAUCGAAAAGUCGUUAAAAGAAUACUGAGGUAUCUGAAGGGAACUGCUGAUUACAAGCUGAAUUACCAAGAAAAGGAUUUGCGACUUGAAGGUUAUUUAGAUGCUGAUUAGGGAGGAGAUUUAGAUGAAAGGAAAUCUACCUCUGGCUUUGCUUUCUUACUGAAUAAUGGCACCAUAUCUUGGAGCAGUAAGAAGCAAACGUGCAUAGCCUUGUCCACGAUGGAAGCUGAGUUUGUGGCGUUAUCAGCAGUAGUACAAGAAGGUGUUUGACUUAAGAGAUUUUUGGAUCAUUUAUGUGUUAUUAGGUAUGCUGCAAAUCCAUUAUUGGUUAACUGUGAUAGCCAAGCAGCUAUAGCGUACACUAAAGAUCCAAAAUAUCAUGACAAGACCAAACAUAUAGAUAUCAAAUAUAAUUUUGUCAAGGAUAUGGUUGCACGAAAAGAUGUGAACUUACAGUACAUAUCUACGCAUAGAAUGGUAGCAGAUCCUAUGACAAAGCUAAUACCUAGAGACGUGUUUUGUGGUCAUGUAAAAUCUUUAGGACUGCGUAGAGGCUGAUGUACUGAAUAUUGCAAUUUCCAUGAAGUGUUAACAUUUAAUGAAUUUGUGUUCUUUCAUCAUUAAUGCUUAUGAAUAUUUGUUUGACAUUUAUGCAUCUUAAUGCUCAGUGCAUUAUAUUAAGUUGAGAAAGUAUGUCGGAUAGAUAAAAGAUUAGCCCACUCACACAGGUAAUCGCCUUUAUUUACUGUGUGAUAAAUAGAGAUGAGAUGGUUUUUAAGCUUAUUAUCUAGGUGAUAAUCGAGAGUUCAAGCUUAAAAUAUAUAUGUCACCUUAACUAAGUGUUAAGAUGAGGAUAUAGUAUUUAAUAUGUCCGAAAGUAAAAUAACCCACAUAUUUGACAUUAUCUGUCUAUGACGUUAGAUGUGAGUUUUGAUGAAUUCAGUGUAUGAGUAGAUAUAUGAACUCAAGUUAGACAUUGGGUAUGUUUGAACUGUCAUCUGUACAGUAUUAAAGAUGUAGACAUACACUCAAUGGAAAAUGAGUUAAAUACCAUAACAUGUAUUUCAUACUACGUAUGCAUGAGACAACUAAUAAGAGUGGCAAAAGUUUGAUCUUAACUUUUAUGCCGUGUGAGACUCUUGAGGAAAAUAGUUUCUCAAUUUAGUGCCUUCAUGACUCUUACUUAUUCUUAAGAUUUCUAUUUAGUGUUUGCUGUCUUAGGAUGUUGCCAAUGAUCAUGAAUUGAUUCGAUCUAAUAGGACAUUUCAAGAAAAGUAAGCUGAACUGAAAUUGAGAGUUUGAAGGAAAGAGGAAGAUUGAAUUUGGAGAAUCACAUUUUAGUUUUGUAUUCACUGGUCGACCAAUUAUGAUUGUUUUUGGGAUAAUCAUAAUUGUAAAUAUAAUAUAUCAUUAUUUAAAAAGAGAUCAAGAGAAAGAUAUAAAUGUGAUCGAUCGAUUUAGGGUACUGCAUACUAAAUCUAUUCAAAGUGUGAUGCCCAUUAUGAGCUGCUAUAUAUUCCUAAUAGAUGUAUGGUAACGAGCUCCCAAAGUAUGCUGGUCGCAUGGAUUAUCCACCAGUAUGAAUGUUGUAGAGAGGUAAAGAGGAUCUUAUUCGGCUCACCAUAUGCGAGUGGGAGAUGAUGGGUUUAGUCUAUGACUUGAUGGGCCUAAGUGGGCCCGUCCGCCCAUGUUAGGCCUAAGAAACCGGCCUGCAGGUUAAGGGCCAAUGGACGAAAGAUUGUGUCUUUUGGAGGAGGUGUUACGUUGAGGGGAUGCGUCCUUUGGAAGAGACGCUUCGAGGGAAAAUAAAAAGAAAAAGGUACGUACCUUUUGGGGUACGUAUGUGAAGACUCUCUCUCUCCCUAAUACGUUUCGGUUUCUCUCUCCCAAAAAGAACGUAAGUUUUCUCCUUUUUUUAAAGCAACAGUAUGCUCCUCGAUAGACUAGAUCAGGAUUCUUCCUCGAACUUUAACAUUGGUGUUUAAUCUGUGGACAAUAAGGUACGCUCGAUUCCGUGGUGUAUCUUUGAUCGGCGAUACAUGUUAUUAUUGGGCUCAUCUUCCACAUUCAUUUUAGGGGUUCGAUUUAGUGUCGAAUUCGUUUUAGGGAAUUUGUUAUUCCCAACAGGAUCCUUCUUUUUUCUCCCUCAGAAAUCUAAUUGAAAGUUGAGAACGAAAUGGAGAUGAAUUUCAAUUCGGAACAGGUGAGAUUUCUAGAUGUGGGGAUGAGAUUGUGAAGUGGAGGGGAUAUUUAAAAGCUUUUUUUUUUUUUGUCGGAAACAUAACUUAACAUUCAAGAGAUAAAAAAGGUUGCAACCCUUAGAGAGGGCAUCGUUACACAAUAGAUUAAAAAGAGUUGGGGGGGGGGGGGAGAAAAGCCCAAUUGGAGCCUAGAGCUCCAGCAGGGAAGUAGAGCUAUGGCUUCCUCGAUCAGUGAUCGACAAUCCUGGGAUGGUCUCUGGCGGAGAUUCGCGGCCUCCACAAGCUCCAAACAAUCGAUUCAAGGAUUAGGUUAGUGUUAGCCAAUCCUUGUCUUAUCAGAGAGUUGAGAGUGAAUAAGAGAGCUUGCGUUUCUGUUUGAAGGGGGAAGGAGGCUACUAUGUGUUGGGAGCUGCCUUCGAGCAAGGUACCGUUAUGAUCAUGACAGAGAUAAGCAAUUGAACCCCUUUCGGGGCCAGAUGGAAAAGCCCCAUCCAUAUUAACUUUAACAAAGCCGGGAUUUGGGGGAAUCCAGCAGGUAUUAGGGUUCGGGGCGGGUACUCUUGGGUUCAGAUGCCCCGGCGCAAAGGAUAGAUACAGCCUUGUUGAUGUGAGUGUCGAAUCCACAAUUUGCUGAGGGCUCAAUUGUUGUCGUUAGAAGACAUAAAGGUUCCGCGCCUUCCAAAUCUGCCAAAGAAUGGUUGCGAUGACCUCCAACCCAGGUAAGUGAGUUCUAUUUUUAACUAGAUCAGCCAACCAUGCAUCCAUACGGUGUGUGCAAAAUGCAGAGACUGUAAUGUGUAUAUCAGGAUGGGCCUAAACCUGCUAAGAUGUAAGGCAAGCCAAGAAUAAAUGUUCCACAGUUUCUGGGACUUGAGAUGGGCAAAGGGGACAUAGUGGGUCAUUUGUGACAUGUCGCCUGAAGAGAUUCUCCUUUGUUGAUAAUGCAUUGUGACAUAUAGACCAUAUGAAUAUUCUGAUUUUUGGAAUCGUGUUUAAUUUCCAAAUUUGUUGCCAGAGACAACAAGGUGUGGUGUAGGUUGAGGAAGCCCUAGUGUUGCUUGUUUUGGUGUCUGAUUGUCAAAUGUGAUGAUAGCCGCUUUUGAAAGAACAUUUUCCCUCACGCGAGCCAGUCCAGAGUAAUUGGUCUGAGUUAGAGUCUGGCCUAAGUGGAAUGGCUGUAAUUUCUUUAACCGUAUGAUUAUCAAAGCAUAGCUUGAGUCUUGGAAUAUCCCAAGUGAGCUGGUUUGAAGAGAUGAAACCAGCCACCUUCUCGAGUUCAUAUCUGGGUGUUGGCCCAGCAAUAACCCCUCUUUUCAGCCAUCUGUCCUGUCUGACCCUAAUUGUUUCGCCAUUGCCAACUUGCCACUGCAUAUGUUCUGUGAUGGAGUCCCUUUCUAGGAGUAUACUUUGCCAGCCCCAAGAAGGUCGCUGUCCCUUUUCUACAUGCCAAAAUUCUUUGGAGUGGUAAUAUAAGCCUUUAAAAAGAGAACUCCAUAGGGAAGGGGUAUUUUGAGAAAGUCUCCACGACUGUUUUCCCAAAAGGGCUUUGUUAAAGGUAACUAAAUCUCUGAAUCCCAUACCUCCGCUGUGUUUGCAUUCUUUCCAAAUUUCCCAGCUUUUCUAGUGGAUCCCGAAUUUGAAACUACUAUUCUGCCACCAAAAGUUUGCUAUCCGCUGCUCGAUAGAUUUACAUAUAGAAAUAGGGAGCUUAAAAAUAGACAUUGCAUACUGGGGGAGGGCUUGCACACUGUCUUCAGUAGAAUUUCCUUACCUCCUUUGGAAAUAAGGUUCUCUUUCCAUCCUGCUAACUUUGCAUUGACUUGAGCCAUAAUCCAGAAAACAUCUCUUUUUUAGAAGCACUCUAGUCAGAUGGUAUACUCAAAUAUUUCACAGUUUUCUGUAUUGAAGGAACUCUCAAUUCCAUAGCCAUAUUCUCUUGUAAACUCAGCGGGCAGUUUUUACUAAGGAAAAGACCUGGUUUAUUCCUAUUGAUAGCUUUACCUGUGGCUAGACAAUAUUGCUGCAUAAUAUUGGAAAGAUUUUGACAUUCAAGCAGUUUUCCAUCAAGGAAAAAGAUGGCAUCGUCGGCAAAAAGUAGGUGAGACAGAGUGGGACACCAUCUGUUUAGUCGUAUUCCUUUGAGAUUACCCAUGUCUAUUGCUUGUGUGAUAAGUGUAGAGAGAAUAUUAGCCAGCAGGAUAAAUAGAUAAGGAGAAAGGGGGUCACCUUAUCGUAGGCCCCUAGAUGGCUGAAAGUAAGGGAGACUUUCACCAUUUAGCUUGAUGCUAAUGGAUACUGUGGUGACACACUGCAUUAUCCAUUAUAUCCAUCUAGGAUUGAACCCCAAUUUAUGAAGAUACUCCUCCAGAAAAUCCCACUUGACCCGAUCAUAUGCCUUUUGCAUAUCCAACUUUAAGAUGCUUUGAAAUUUUUUCUCUCUCCCUGAUUUUCAGCUGGUGUAAAACCUCUUGCAUGAUCAAAAUAUUGUCUUGGAUUUGUCUUCUAGCAAUAAAAGCAUUCUGUUCUUGUGAGAUUAGGUCAGGGAGCCAACAUUUGAGACAUUAGCCAAAACCUUGGAUAUGAUUUUAUAAAUAAAAUUGCAUAGACUGAUCGGUCUAUAUUGAUCUAACCUUUCUGCUUGAUUGACUUUAGGGAUCAGGAUGAUGAUGGUUCUGUUUCGAGUUGGUGGUAGCAGACCGGAUGAGAAGAAAUUUUUCACUGUAGUGACUAAAUCAGCCUCCAAGAUAUCCCAGUGACGUUGAUAGAACAAGCCAUUGAAGCCAUCGGGUUCGGGGGCCUUAGUUGCCCUUAAUUGAAAAGUAGCUAGUUUGAUCUCUUCCUUAGUUACCUCUGCUGUGAGAUUGAGGUUCAUUUCAGCAGUAAUUGUUUGGCUACAUUGUGAUAGAAUAGGACCAAAGUUCCUAGGACCAACUGAAGUAUAUAAGCUGUGGAAGAAGUCGUUUGUCAUGUUCUUUAGAAGCGUAGGUUCACGAAUCCAUAGGUUGUUUGCAUCUUGUAGCAUACUGAUAUGAUUUCUCUGCCGUCUCUGAAUUGUAGUAGCAUGAAAAAACCUGGUAUUUUUAUCUCCCCAACAUAACCAAUUUAUCUGCGAUCUCAUAUUCCAGUAUUGUUCCUCUUGUUGCCAAACUUGUUGAAUCUCAGCUUUCAUUCGAGUAAUCUGCUGUUUAUCAAAAUUGCAGCCUGGCUGGUUGAUUUGAUCUUGAAUUUGUUGUUUUAAUAGGUUAAUGUGAAGAUGGCCGUUGCUAAAUUUCUCUCGACUCCAUCUUUGGAGCGCUGUGGUAGCUACCUGAAGCUUACGGGAGAUAGAAGCAUUACAUAGAGGGAGAGAUGUCCAGGUAGCAGCUAUGACUUGGUGACAAUCAGUAUGAUUUGCCCAUAAGGCUUCAAAGGUAAAGGUCUUUUUAUGUCUCUUUGCGGGAGGCUAUAGUGAUAACAGUAGCGGACUAUGGUCAGAGCCUAUAACAGGUAAGGCGAACACUUCGGCUGUUGGGUAUUUUAAUCUCCAUUCCAUAUUGCACAAAGCCUUGUCAAGUUUUUCCUUUACCAAGUCCUCACCUUCCCUAUUGUUAACCCAUGUAUAGGCACACCCUUUGCUAUCAAUUUCCAUGAGUGAGCAGUCGUUUAAGAAGUCCCGAAAUGAACGCAAUCUAUAAGAAUGUGCGAACCUUUUACCCACUUUUUCCCAAUGGUUUAGGAUCUUGUUGAAGUCUUCGAUGCAUACCCACGGUAUUAUAUUUGAUCUGUUGAUAUUGUUGAUAACUGUCCAUAACUGCUGUCUUUUAUGGAAGGAUGUAGGUGCAUGGAUAUAGGUGAGUCUCAUAGGAUUGCCACCUUGGGUACUAGUACAAAUCAAGUCGAUAUAAUGGGCUGAGAAGUUCUCCACAGUAAUAGAAAGAUGGUCAUUCCAAAAGAUAGCCAAACCUCUAGCUAGGCCUGAGGGGCUUACCAAAAAACGAUGCUGGUAAUGUAAUUUCCUUUGCACUCUAUCUAAAACAGAGUCCUAAUUUUUAGAUUUCAUCAAAAAUAUGAGAUCGGGCCGAUCUUGGAUGACGAGGUCCUUUAGAGCUUGAACUGUCAGGGGGUUGCCCAGCCUUAACAGUUCCAACUAAUGAUCUUUAUUUAUCUUUUGGUGGCUUUUUAGGGCAAGCCACCAUCGCCUAAUUGCCUACCCCUUCAGCCUCAAUGAUAGGGAUAUCCAUUAAUUGAUCAUCAGCCAGUGCAAUAGGUCCAUAAGCAAGCGAUUCAUAAGGCGAAUAUCUCUUUAGCUUCUUUUGCGGACUUCCUCUGGUAACUUUCCUAGGGCUUUUUAGUUUCUCAUAUUUGGAGGAUUCUGCAGCUGGAUUACUGAUAUUGAUAUGUCCGACUAAAACAGGGGAUUUCAUUUUGUGCAUUGCAGCUUCUUGCUGAGAGGUCACCUUGAGAGAAACACCCUGAGAAGCAGCAAUUUGUAAGUUGUGUUGCUAAUCUAAGUUAACCUCCAUUUGUGUAGCAUUCUCAUUGAGAUUUUUAGGGAUGGCAGACAACAUUAGAGGGGCCGUCGAAGGUGUUUCAAGUACAGUGUCAAUCUUAGUAUCGAUGUGUCAUAGAAAGCUUGCCAGAAUGGACUAUAUUCUCUAACUUCCACCCUAAGCCAUUGACCAAAGUAGAGGUUGUCAUGGCCUUCCAAUUUGGCAUCAUCAUAGGUUGUCACGGCCUUCCAAUUUGGCAUCAUCAUAGGGAAUCACUUUGCAAUACAAAGCAUAAUGGCCGAUGACCCCACAGGAAUAGCAUAAAUGGGAUGGUUGCUCAUAGCGAAAAUCUAGCAAUCUUAUCAGUUUUCUAGGUUUUAGAGGUUCAUGCAGAUUAAGUGCCACCCUAGCUCGCCAAGCGUGGGGGGGGGGGGGGGGAAAACCCUUUUGAACAAAACUUUUGACCUCCCAGACCUUACCAACAUGUUGGACAGCUCUUCGUAAAAUGGAUUCUGUACAUCUUUUUUAAGUUAAGCCGAAAAUUUGGACCCAAUACGCACAUGUAGUAAAAUCAUAACAAUGGAGAGGAGUAUUAGGGACCCAUGGUUGUACAAUUAGAAGGUGGUUCGCAGAAAGCCAAGGGCUAUUAUCCAUAAUAUGUUGUUUCUUAGCUUCAUAAUUAAACUUGAAAAUGAAUAGGCCGGCUUCCCUUUGAGAUAUGUUGACAUGGUCAGUACGCCACACACAUUUCAUAGUAGUCUGGAAAGCCUGAAAGUUAAUUGAAAGGUUUGAGUUGGAGUUUACCUACUAAGGUUUGUUUGCAUUUAGCUAAUUUAUCUUCUGAAAUAGCAUCUUCCCAGUCUUCUAUUUCCUGAUCUUCCCAUAACCUGCCCAUUCUGUUGCAGAGAGCUGCGAGCCUUGCAUCAUUUUCAUGGUCCAUACUAUUUCAAUGGGAACUGGGGAUAGUUCCGAAGAGGGUUACGAAGAGGAAACCAAUCGGAACAAUUGGCGAUGGAGAUGGGCCAGUGAUGGAGUUGGGAGUCAACUAGUCGGAAUCAGAGAAGAUGGGUCAGCAAAAGUGGGUCGACGAUGAAGCACAUGCAGAACAGAAUUGAAGGAAUGCAUGGCGGAGACUGGAUUGCGGAGCUACCAAGGCAGAGUGGGCGGUGGAACAUCGGGAGAUUGGAGAACUAGCACGAGGAAAAACGAUGGGGAGAGGGACACAGGUGAGCUAAACUAUCAAGCUUGUGAGUGAAGGAACCAUGGCUAUGGAGACAACAUAGACAUGAAGGGUUUUAAUGGUGAAGAGAGCUACCAGAGGGUAGAAAAACUCUACAUGACGAGAGAAAAGAAAGAUGGACAUUAGUCUUGAUGAGAUACACACUUUUGCAUAUGAUCUUGAUGUGGGAUUUGUACCUCCACUCGGCACAAGCCUAAAAUAUAUAUUUUAUAUUUUGCUAAUAAUAAGCACCGUGAUAUUGCACCCUCUAUUAUUUAUUUAUUUAUUUCUCUCAGCAGAGAUGUUACAUGAGGGGGUUGGCAAUAAAUUUUUAUUUUACUCCCUAUGCCAUUGGCGCGAUCGGGGCAACUUCUUUACUUGCAUGAAAAAACUUCAGAAACAAUUGAAGUUGCAUGCUUUUACUUCGUACGAAAUUCCACGCACCAUUGAAUAACUCAUUUAUUGCGAUGCAGGCAAAUACAAGUCUAGGAACAAUAGAAAAAGGGCAAAAACACAAGUUGAAGUGGAUCGGGUGUCGUCCACCAACAGCUAAGGCUAAUAAAAGCCGUCGGUGCCGCUCCUCAUAGAUAGCAGACGCAUCCAAAUUUCUACCAGAUUUGAAAAAGAGCAAUGCUAACACGACACUGCCGUUAUCGAUUGAAAAAUGACGGUGUAAUUUCAACCACCACUUUCACUUCAAGAGGAAUCGACUACUGAAUUUGCGUAAAUGACAAACAAAGAAGAUUGGUCAAUGGGUUGCCUCAGAUGUCCGAAAAGAAAAAUUUGAAAUCUUUCCCCCUUCUUCUUUUUUAAUCUGGACAGCACAUGUUCUCUCCAUCUCCGGCCAAUCUUUCUCUGGCAACAUUUUGUUGUCCGAUACCAAUCUUUCUUUUUGAUUUUACUAAAGUUUACCGCUUAAUUGCUAUGGAAAGCCCGAGUGUUACAAAGUUCAGAAAGUACUAGAAAUAUUGUUGUAGAUAUGAUUGGCGACCGGUGGAAUCGGCUCGCUGGUAUCGACUAUCAACGACCAAUGACCAACAGAGGGGCGGCCAAUAGAAUUGUGUUUUUAAUAGCUUUGUGGUCAUAAAAAGGAGAAAAUGGAAUUGCAUAUUAUUAGCUAGGUAAUAAAAAAAUUCCAAUUAUAAUUAUAGUUAACAUAUUAUGUAGAAUGUGUCAAUUAAAUCUGGUUUUUAGUACGCAUGUUGAGAAUAUGUUUUUAUUUUUCUAAUACAAGAAUAUGCUUGUUAUUAUAGAAUUAACUAAAGCUACAUAAUUUAAUUGCAAAAUUAAACAAGUUGCAUUUUAUGUCAUCAUGUGUACUUGAAUACGAUCAAACAUGAUAAAUCUUCAUAGAAUUUCCAAAAAAAGAGGAAGAUAUAUUAUACAAUGUUAUGUAUUUGGUCAUAUCCUAACAUCAUAAAUUCAUAAAAUCUGAAUUAUUUUUAUUUUACAUUAAUGACUCUAAAAUGCAUCAUGAUAGUCGGUAAUAAAUCAAUGACAUAUCCAUUAUCUGGUGCUUAACGUGGGUUCAUUAAAAUUUUAUGAAAUCUAUUAACGUUAUUCCAAUGCCUCCAUAUAUAAUAUUAAAAUUGAGUAAAGUAAUUUGACACGAUUCCGACAUCAUCCGUUAAAAAAACAAAAAUCGUAUACUUUCAAUGUUUCCAAGUUUUGAUUGCUUAUUUUGUCUUCCGUUUUUUUCCUUCUUGUUUAGUACUUUUUUUGUCCAACCAUUUCUUUUCUAUUUAAACUUCGUCAUUUUGGAAAAACUAUCAAGAGGGAUUUUUAGGAUCAAUAGUAGACAAAGCUCCGUCCCAUUUGGGAUAGUGACGAAGCGGUUGCCUUCUCAUUUUCCGUGUUCAUUUCAAGAUUUCCAUUUGAGUGGCAGUGUCUGCAAAUUGUGAGUUAUUUCUAUGCCGUUAAUUUUCGUUUUCAGCUUAGUCUCCUAUAAAUUUCGCGCGUUUCGCCUUAGUUCUUUAAGUUCCAGUACUUGUGCUUUCGAGUUGGUCUUUACUCCUUAAUUUUCAUGCAAUUCACUUCUUUGUCAUCGAGGUCAAAGUGACAAAUGUCUUUCAAGGAGCUGGCACGCCUUCGUUACUCUCAUGCCCACUCGAUCCAUCUUUGCAAAUUUUGUUUCGAGGAAGUUUGAUCACUUUGAGGUUGAGGGCAGACCCGAGAACAAGCUUUUGUUCAUUUUUCCAAUCGUGUGCUUGCCAUAUUUGACUUAAAUCGAUUUAAAUCCAAUAGUAUUUGUCACGCCCUGAACCCUGGGUACGCGUACAUCUCUCGGCAGUCGAUUAAAAAUGCGACAUCUCGGGACGCGUCACCAACCCAUUCUUUUUAUCUUUCAAUUAAGCAUAUGUGGAAGCAAAUUAAAUAAAUACCCGGCCAACAAACAACACUGAGAUAGUAAAAACAUGACAACCAUUGCCUAAAACAACAUAUUCAUUUAUCAACUGUUAACCCUAGAAAGUUUAAUAUUUACAAGCCUUCCUACGGCCACUUUCUAUCGACCCUCUCAAAAACCUUUAGGGACUAGGGUCAACCUAAACUUCACUAGCGACAAGGCCAGCCAAAAGGUGUCGCAUCUCGCGCCCACCAGAUCUGCACUCAGCAAAUCUCCACGCUAUGGCCCUGAAAAAGGUUAAUCAUGACGGGGUGAGAUAAAUCUUAGUGAGUCAAAACCCUAAAUCCCGAUUAGGAUGUAAAUUCGCCUCGAAGGCAGUCAUAAACACGUACAAUACAAAACUCACAUUGCCUCAGCAUGUCCUUGCAUAUUAGUGCAUCACAUAUGCAUUUAUAGAUAUAACAAGCGAAUUAAUAACCGGAAUACAUAAUUUUCACCCUUCAAAAAUUCACAUAGGUCUCAAUUAUAAGGUAAAACCAUUAUGAUACAUCAUAUACCGUGCCACACAAUUUUACCCCAUAAUUAAGCGUGAUAGCACAACCAUUCAGGUGUGUUUCGAUUAUUGCGACCCAUCAACCACGGCCAACUUAAAAGUCGGCGGUCAUCUGACGUAAAUGGGCAUCAUCCCAUUCCAUCAGGCAUGGCAACAUCUAGCACUACCCAUCUAGACGGCAUUCCAUAAAGGAGCAUCGGCUCGGCCUCCAUCGCGACUUGGCAUCCGUUGACGUGGGGCAUCCGAACUUAAUUAGGCAUCGCCUCCUCAAUUGUUGUCGGGUGACAAGUUCUGAUAGUGACCGUGCGAACACAUAUUUAGCCAAGAACACCACGCUUUGCGUUCAAGUACCUUGUUUCCAAAUAAUGAACUUGACCACUUUUUCUUCGUAUUAAAAAUCUCGGUAAAAUAAUCAUGUGUGGUCACAUAUUUAAAAGCGAACCGUCAAACUUGGUGCGCUCCUAUUUUAAAACUUCAUGGUUGAUAUAGUACAUAAAAAUUGGCAUCCAAAACCGACACCUAACAUUUUUCUAUUUAAAUGCCCAUAAAAUCGAGUUUUGUAGUAAAAAUCAACAACUACCAUCAAGCAAUCAAUGGCACCCCAUAGCAUAUAUAAGUCACCCAAUUCACACAUAAAUUCAUUCAAGAGACGAAACGGCUAAUCCCUCAUGAAUUACGCUAAUUACGAUUAAUUAAAUAAAUCGUGAUUAAUUAAAUAAAUUAUGAUUGAUUAAGCUAAUGCAACUUAAUUAACUUAACAAUGAUUAAUUAAUCUAACCAUGGUUAACUAACUUGACCAUGGUUAACUAACUAACCAAGGUCAACUAACCUAACCAAGCAAGUUAGCCUAACCAAACUAACAACGUAGCCAAACUAGUUACCACUAACCUAGGAUUAACUAAACUAAUCAUAAUUAACACUAAUCUAACCCCCUAAGCGAAAUUAACAACCUAAUCAAGGAUUAGGGAGUUAACUCACGGGAUUAAGACGGCGGCGGGCUCACGACGACGGCGACGGUGAUGGCGGCGGCAAGGGGAAGCUCAUGGCCAAAGUGUGGGGACUUGGCUGCUAGGGUUGCUGGUCGGUCUCGAUGGAGCUGUCUGUUUGACAUCCCAAAUUUUUAUUCUUAUUUUCUACUAAAUAAAUUAGGCAUUUCAUUGAUGUGCCUAUAGGGCUAUUCUCAGAGCUGAUCAUUCUUGAGAUAAUUAGACUAUUCAGGGAAGCCAUUAAGGAAUUUUAAUGCAAUAGACUUAAGAAUUCGACUAGGAAUCGGCUAUUCGACCGUGCUCAUUUUUAGAGGCCAUUACGACACAGUUAAAAAUCAAUUUAAGAUCAAAGAUAGGUUUGUUCGACUUGGAUGUGUGGCUAAUCGUGGGUGACACCAUUAAAUUGAAAAAUUCUCGUUGGCCGACCCUAAACUGGUUCUUCUGUCGUUUUGGUACCCUGUAUCCGUAUUUGAAUCCUUAAAAUUUUCAUGACAACCAAGAGUCGCCAUUGUGUCGAGUGGGUUCAUUAUGGCUCAAACAAAAUCGACCACGAGUCAUUUGCACUAGAAAUCCUUGAAAACUACCGAUAACUUAUGUCACGCUAAAAACGCGUCUGAGUGAAAUUAACUGUGAAUUUAAGUCCAAUUUUAGAAAUUGAAUAUUCUGUCAUGUUACAAUAAAUUCUAGGAACAUCGACUGAGUCUCAGAAGAUUUUUUUGCAACCUGAGACUUUUUGGGAAAAAGUUGGCGUAUGGCCGUUUUUAUUUAGAAAAUGCCGAGAUUGUUUUUGAUCGCGCAAUGGGGAUGCAAGAUAGAUCAAUUGGUGAGUAAAAUUAGCAAUUUGAUAAUUAAGAUGCUAAUUAAAUUUAUUGAGGCCAAAUUGGAUUGAAUCAAGUGUGAAUAAGUGUCUAAUUGAGAGAAAUUUAUUGGAAAUUCGUGUGCCCCCCAUUCUCUAUGAUAUUGGACCAUUUCAAAGGUUGUGGAUGUGCAUUUGUGGCCUAAGGACAGCCAAGGAAGGAAGGCUUGGCUAGGAAUGGGUCAAGGGGGACAAAGACCUGGAAAAAAUUGGCAUGUGGUCCCCCCUCUUGCCUUCUCUCCCUCGUUUCCCCCUUUGGCCAUGCGAUAGCCUUCCUUCCCCAUCUCCAUAGCUGCUACUUGAAGGCUAGAAUUCUAGUAGAAGAAGUUGUCGUCCACGUCGCAUGUUGUUGCCCUUCGCCGGAACGCCGUUCGCCCGUGUGAGCUGCCUCGCGCGUCGUCACGCCUUGCCGUGCCUCACGCCGUCCCAGCCCUCUGUCUGCCGGUCCAUUUGGCUAUUUCACAGCCUAGCAGGCCGUCGUGAGUCCGUGUUGUUGACCACUUGGCCUUGCCAUCGCCUUCGCCGAUCUUGCUUACUUUGUUUAGCUUUGUUUUCCCCUAUUUUGCAGCUCAAAACAUAGAAGGAUUUUGUGUGUUUCCAGUAGGCUUUUAAGCCCGUUUUAAGGUGGUCCCGAGCCUCGGUUGCUAGGCUUGCCUUGAGGAAAGGGGAUAAGUACACUAAUGGUGCCAUAAGUUAUGUACGACGCUCACUUUGGUGCCAAAAGUUUCCAUCAGAUCACUUAAGUGCCAAAAAAUUUGAAAAACACUCACUUUGGUGCCAACGCCGAUGAAAUUGGUCGGAAAUCCGAUGUGGCCUUUUUUUUAUUAAUUUUUGAAGCCGACGUGGCUUGUUGGAGAGUUGAGUCAACAUCCAAACACCAAAACGAUGCCGUUUGGCAUCUUUCCCCCAACUUUGAAACCUUAAUCCCCAAAUUGAGAGAGCGGGGAGGCUUGUCUUCGUGUCUUCUUCUUCCUCGAAGACCCACACAAGCAAUAGCAACGGCAUCAGCACGGCACCAGCAACAGCACCGGCAGCACACCGGCAGCGACACCAGCAACACACUAGCAGCAGCAGCGCACCAGUAGCACCUUCGACCCAUCUUCUUCCUCCUCCUCCUUCGCCCUCGCCUUCGAUUUUUCCUGCAACAAUCUCAGUCUCUCCUCGCUCACCUGGUCGAGCAACUACAAUGGUGGCUGAGCGACGGUGGCCGAGUGACGGCGGGCGAACAAUAGUGGCUGAGCGGCAGAAACCCUAAUUUCAAUCCCCAUGUGAGCUAAACGGCGUCGUUUCCGUGAAGCCAUCCAUGUAUGACGGCAAAACGACAUCAUUUAAAGGCCUAUCAAUUUUUAUUUUUAUAAAAAACAGCCACGUAUUAAUUUUGGCCAGAAUCUUUCGCCGGUGGCUGAAAUCUUUCUCUGGUGGCACCAAAGUGAUCGUUUUUCCUCCGAUUUGGCACUUAAGUGAUCCGACAGAAACUUUUGGCACCAAAGUGAGUGCCGUACACAACUUAUGGCACCAUUAAGGUACUUAUCCCUUGAGGAAAGUAUAGCCUUGCAUUGACCCCAUCGUUUUGAAUUGAACGGUUCGUUAAAUGGGUGAGUUUAGCUCACUAAUCCUCUAUUAGUCGGUUAAUUAUACUUAGGGGUUGUUUAGAUUUAAUUAAGUGCAAUUAGGUGGAUAUAUUAGAUUAGAGUAAUUAAAUUAGAGACUUAUCGAUGCAUAUUAGGCAAAUGGUUAGUGUAGUUAGCAAGUAGACACGCUUUAUUAAUUAUUGAACGAACCUUGAAAUUUUUCUGGCUCCGUUUCGGCAUCUAAUUAGGCAUUACGGGCCUAAAUUGGAUUUAUUGCAUUUAUUUAAUAAUUUUUGUAAUUAUUUAAUUAAUUAUUAAUUUUCUGAAAAUUAGGCUGGGAUAGCCGACGACUGGAAUUCUAUGCUGAUCGUGAUGAUAUGAUAUGUUUAUUUAUUUAAGCAUUGAAUUGUGUUGAAUUGAAUUAAUUAUGCUUUUAGGAUUUUAUUCCUAAAUUGAUUGAUUUUGGUAAUUGAUGGGAAAAUUACCAGGCGUCGGUUGACAACGCCAAAAAUGUUUUUGUGGACUACAGAAAAUGGUUGGAUUUGUGGAAGUGAAAUUAUGAUAUUUUGGCUAAGAUCAAUAGUGUACCCACACACAACUAUUUUAUCAAAAAAGAUAAAAAAAAAAGAAGAAGAUGGAAUUGAUUGUAUGAUUGGGAUGGUAUACUAUAUUUACCUACGGGCGAUAUGUCAACUUAGCAGAGAGCAGUAUAUUGGUAUACUAUAUCAACCUAAGGGCUCUGAUAUGGCAGCUUAGCAGAGAACAGUAUACCUUAUCACAAUAUUAGUAUACUAUAUCAACCUACGGGCUCUGAUAUGAUAGCUUAGCAAAUAACAAUAUACUAUUUAUCAGCUUAGAUUGAGCAUUAUCGGUAUACUAUAUCAACCUACGAGCUCUAAUAUGGUAGUUUAGCAGAGAGCAGUAUACUCGACCAUCUCAGAAGCGAGUCAUACUAUUUAUCUAUUAGCUUAGCAGUGAGCAGUCCUGAUAUGAGCGAACUUUAUAGAUAAUAUGAAAUGAGCUGACCAAGAAAGGGUCGAGAUGACAUGUAAUCGACUAGGUUGAUUGAUCAAUGAUUUGAUAUGAUUUUAUGAAUUGAUGUGAUUUGAGAUAUCCGUAAGUGAUAUUGACUUGUAGGGUCGAACUGAGGCCAAGGUAAGUCCUUUGACACGUGUAGUGAUUAGGUAGCCCUUAGGGCGUAUUGACUUCCUAAUCGGGUCUUAGUGGGGUAGAAAUUGCUGAGACGUAGUCUCACUCCGUUGUGGGAUAACAUUUCAGGUCCCUAGAUGGCAUCACCUCCACCUCCUCGUCCUCCCAUGCAUUUUGGUAUACUAGAAGAGAUCACCGAGAUAGCAUACCACUUCUCGAUACACCCUCACCUGAAAGGUCUAGAGUAUGUUUUGGUGAAAUCCAUAGCCUGGGUGGAUGAGGGUAGAGAUGCCUUGAGGCCCCAUGAGUAUAGGUCGUGGUAUCGUCACUAUCAUGACGGGCGAAGAGAGAGUUCAGUACUGGAAGAUGAUGUGCCUAUGUUCGUUUUGGAGGCAGCAUUCGGGGAGGGGAUGGCUGAUCCUAAGGAUGGGUCGGUGGUGGAUGCAAAAGAUCCUAAGCUAGGUGAAGACCUGGACUCUCCCAAGCCAUCAACAGCAAACUCUAGUUGGAGAUGGAGGAAGGAGAGGUUGUAGAGGAGGAGGAGUACCUGGGGGAGGAGCCCGAUGAGGAACUUGAGGAGGAAGGACCUGAAGAGGAGGACCCAGAAGAGAACCUAGAGGAGGAGUUGGAGGAGGAUCCCGAGGAUGAUCAGGAGUAUGACCUCGAUGAAAAUUGAGACUCCACUCCUGUUUGAUGACUUGAUCCUAUAGAACCUGUUUGAGUAGAAACCGACUUUUAGUAUGGCUUGUAUAUGUAUAUAAAUGAUUGAGUUGUUAUAUAUGUAUAUAAGCGUGUUGGUUUUCAGGUUUGAGUUUUUAGUCCUACUUUCCUAUCUCAUUGUUUUAUUGUCUGGGAAUUAUUUUAUAUGCUUCUGCAUGCGUAUAUUAAAUGAAUGGGUCGGCGAUGCAUCCUGUGAUGUUGCUAUAAAUCGAUCAGGUGAGGGAUGGGUGUGCGCUCGAGAAUUGGAGCGUGACAUCCCUGCUUAAGUGGUAUCGGAGGAAUGGUCGUUAGGGAUUGGAGUGAUAAGGUGCGGUGGACCAUGGGAUAGUGGUAGGAAAGAUAUUUUAAUUCAUGUUUGGUGCAUGUCAAUGGUAGAUGAUUGGUAAAAUUGGUUGCCGUGUAUGUGUCGCUCAUCUUCUAAUCUAGUUUGGAUUUAGAAGACAGGUUUCAGUAGAAAAGAUUGAACCAUGAGCGAGCCGGAGUAGAUGACUCUAAGUAAGAGAACUGUUAGGCUUUCAGCUUGGGUUAGAUCGUUGACCAGAGUCGGUACCCGAGGAGGCAAAGCUAGGGCACCGGCAUAGGCUAGUGCUAGUGGUGUAGCACCACUUCUAGUAGAAGCUGGGGUAGCAGCCCCCAGUGAUCCUAGAAUCGAAGGGAUCAUGCGGGUGCUAGAAGUCAUGGGGAACAUGAUGGAUUAGCAGGCUCAGAAUCAAGCCGCCGCUCAAGCCACUAUACUGUUGCUGUUGCCACUGCUGCUGAGGCCGCACCAGCCGCUGCACCUGUUGCUGCACCUAUCGCUGAUCCAGCCGAUGUUCCAUUUAAGAACGUAGUUUUAGGCAGAGAAAGACCGAUCCACAAUCUGGUGGAGCAUUUCUUGAAACUGAGCUCGCUAAGAUUUUCGGGUAUUGGAGACCCUAAGGCCACUUCACUGUGGAUCUAGGAUUUAGAGAAGGCAUUUGCACUCAGAGGCAUAGAAGGUAACCCUAUAAGUAUAUCAGUUUUAGGGCAAUGUCAACACCUGAUGGAGAGCUGCCAGAGAGACAGUGUUUCUUGAAGGAGUGGUUCUACUAUGGGAUGCAUUCCUUAGGUUGUUUAGGCUGCGCAUGGUAACAUUUCUUGGCCGGGGAACAAUUUUUUUUUUUUUUCAGAAAUAGUUCUUUUAUAUUUCUAUUUUGGGGAACAAUUUCUAUGUAAAAAAACUCGUUUGGUAACUACACAAUUUUUACUCUAGAAAUAAAAAAAAGAAUAGAAAUGUGUUUGGUAAAAAAUAGUUUCUUUUUUAUAUUUAUUUGUUUUUUUUUAUUUUUUGCCUAUAGACUGCCACCACCGUCGGAUGCCGCCGCCGCUGGCCGACCGCGGCCGAUGGGCCGUGCGACGGCGAUCGGCGGCGGCAGUUGGUGGGCAGCGGUCGGCUGGUGGUGACGUGCAGCGGCGGCGGCGGCGGCGAUCGUCCGGCGGCGGCGGUGACGGUCGGCUGGCCGGGAGCGACCGGCGAUGACCGGUAGUGGCGGCGGCGAUCGGUCGGCCUUCGGUGGCGACAGUUGUUCGGCGGUGGCGGCAACGGUCGGCCGGCGGUGACCGGCGGCAGCGGCGGUCAUUCGGCGGCGGCGGCAACUGUUGGCUAGUGGCGACGUGCGGCGGUGGCGGCGUUUGGUGGCGAUCGGCGACGACCGGCGGCGGCAACGGUCGGCCGACGGUGGCGACGGUCGACCUCCGGCGACCGGCGGCGGUUGGCCGACGACAGCCAGCGGUCAAGGGCAAUCAAUGGCGGUCAGCAAGAGAUGAAUAAAAGAAAAAAAAAUUCACUUAUUUCUUAAACUUGUUCCCGGGAACAAGAAGCAACUUUUUUUUACUUCUCAUUUCUAUUCUAAAACCAUUCCCGGGUUAAUUUUUUGUUCCUGGGAACAAAAAACUAACUUGCCGUUAUCAAACAAGUUUCUAUUCUUUUUCUGUUCUAGGGAAGAGAAGAAUAGAAAUUGUUGGGCUGGGGAAGUUUACCAUGCGCAGCCUUAAUGAACAAUACUUCUCGAGGAACGCAAGAAAGCAUAAUAUAGAAGAAUUUCCACGACUUCGUUAGAGGUCAAUGACAGUUGACCCAAUAUGGGGUCAAAUUUGUGGAGCUUUCUCAGUAUGCUUCGAGGAUGAUUGAAGACCUUGAGGAGAAAGCUCGAAGGUUCAAGAAUGGCAUUCGACAAUAGUUGAAGCAACUGCUGGUGCCGUUCGAUCUGAUUGACUACCAUGAAAUCUAUCGUUAGGCAUAACUGCUUGAAAGGAGUCUGAAUGAACGGGUCACCUCAUCAGGAUCGAGGUUUACUUCCCGUCGAGAAGGAAUUCGUCAAGGAAAAAGGCCCAUGCCUAAAGGUAGAUACCAAAUCCCAUCAAAUAGGAGAGGUGGAGUUGGUAAGCAGUGCCAAAUAGAACUGAGAUGUGUCGCCUUUGUGGAAGAUGACAUCCUGUGAAUCAAUGCCCUCGAAGAACGGGCGCCUACUUUGAAUGUGGCCAGUAGGGCCAUAGGGCCAGAGAUUGUCUUAACAGGCCAAGAGGACAGCCAUAGUUGCCGCCGCCACCACCUAUGGGAUAGAUAAGAGGUUAUGCGCCACAGAACGUGCCACAAGGAGGAUAGCUGAGACCUCCAGUUCAGGGCACGGUGUAUGCCAUCACACAAGUUCAGGUAGAGGCUGCGCUUGACGUGAUCAUAGGUAUGGUUUCGCUGAAUGACCAUCUUGCUUACGCUUUAUUCAACUCUGGAGCAACCUAUUCUUUUAUUACCGAGUAAUAUGUUAAGUUGUUAGGAUUAAGUCCUAUAUUGUUGGAGUCGGCAAUUUACAUAUCUACACCAUUAAAGGAUAAAAUUAUUCUUGCUUUGGGUUGUUCUGGUUACAAGUUAGCGAUUGGUGAGGGAGUGGGGAAAUAGACUUGUUAGUUCUAGCCAUGUAUGACUUUGACUUGAUAAUUGGCAUGGACUAGCUCACCAAGUAAUGAGCUAAAAUGGACUGCUAUUGCAAAGUGAUUUAGUUCGACCCGUUAGAGGGUGAGAGCUUCGAGUUUGUCGGGAAUCGAGUAGGACCCUCGAUUAUCUUGAUCUCAUCACCUAAGGCAACUCGUUUGUUAGAUGAGGGUUGCCAAGGUUACCUAGCAACUGUCAUGGAUACAACAGUUGAGGAGCUGAAAAUGGAAGACAUUGCUGUGGUACGAGAAUUUCUAGAUGUCUGUCCAAAGGAAUUGCUAGGAUUGCCACUAGAAAGAGAAAUCGAGUUCGUGAUUGAGCUGGCACUCGGGACAGAGCUAAUCUCUAAGGCCCCUUACCGGAUGGUGUUAUUUGAGUUAAAAGAAUUGAAGGUGCAGAUGCAAUAACAUUUGGAUAAAGGGAUUUAUUUGUCCCAGUGCAUCACUUUAGGGAGCACUGGUUCUAUUUGUUAAGAAGAAAUAUGGUUUGUUGCGCCUAUGCAUUGACUAUCGGCAACUCAAUUAGGUAAUGAUUAAGAACAAGUAUUCACUCCCGAGGAUCGACGACUUGUUUGAUCAAUUGCAAGGAGCGUUGAUAUUUUCGAGGAUUGACUUGAGAACAGGAUGUCAUCAACUAAGAAUUAGGAAGGAGGACAUUCCUAAGUCAGCACUUCGUACUUGGUAUGAUCAUUACGAGUUCAUAGUGAUGCCAUUCGGGUUGACGAAUGCUCCUGCUACCUUCAUGGAUUUGAUGAACCAAAUAUUCAAGGAAUAUCUAGAUCAGUCUGUGAUCGUGUUCAUUGAUGAUAUGUUGGUGUAUUUGAGAAGUGAUGAAGAGCAUGAGAAUCACUUGAGAUUAGUGUUGUAAAAGCUAAGAGUCCAUAAGUUGUACGCUAAGUUUAGCAAGUACGAAUUUUGGCGAAGAAAUUUCAGUGGACUCGAGCAAGAUUGAAGCCAUGAUCAAUUAGCCAAGACUGGAUACAGUGACAGAGAUUAGAAGUUUUUUGGGUUUAGCAGGUUAUUACAGACGGUUUAUAGAAGGGUUCUCAUCAUUAGCAUCGCCUUUGAUAAGACUUCUGAAGAAAUAAGAGAAAUUUGUGUGGACCGACAAGUGUGAGCGUAGUUUUCAAGAGCUAAAAGAAAAGCUGACUACCGUACUGGUGCUGACGAUUCCAUCUGGUCUUGGAGGAUUCGAGAUCUACAAUGAUGCGUCAUUUAGAGGACUGGGUUGCGUGCUAAUGCAACAUGGUAGGGUUGUUGCAUACGCCUCCCGUCAGUUGAGGCCUCAUGAGCAGAAUUAUCUUAUGCAUGACUUAGAACUCGCAGCGAUUAUCUUUGCCCUAAAGAUUUAGAGACAUUAUCAAUGCGGAGAAAGAUUCUAGAUCUUCACGGACCAUCAAAAUCUCAAGCACCUAUUCUCUCGGAAGGAGUUGAACAUGAGAUAGCGCCGAUGGACGGAAUUGCUGAGGGACUACGACUGUGAUAUCCUAUAUCACCCGGGGAAGGCGAACAAGGUCGCCGAUGCUUUGAGUCGAAAGUCUUCAGUAGCUCACAUAUUGAUUAAGGAGUAGAACUUAAUCGAGAGAGCUCGAGAUUCGGUAUUCAAGUUUGAGGUAGGCCACCUUUCAAAUCUUAUGGCCACCCUCCAAAUUGAAUCAGAUGUCCAAGUCAGAAUCAAGCUACUCCAACUGAUAGAUCCAGAUGUACAAAAGAUUCUACAGGAGGACACUGAGAAAAUAAAGGCUGACUUUCAGAUUUCUGAUGAUGGAAUAAUGAGGUUCCGAGGACGUUUGGUUGUACUUGACAAUGUAGAGCUUAGAGAAUAUAUUUUAUUUGAAGCACAUUGUAGCAGUUACAGCAUUCAUCUUGGAAGUACCAAGAUGUAUCAGAAUUUGCAUCAACACUAUUGGUGGUUUGGGAUGAAGGCGGAUAUCGCCAAGCAUGUCGCCAAGUGUCUGACGUGUUAGCAGGUGAAGGCUCAGCAUUACAAGCCAUGAGGACUUCUGCAACCUCUCGAGAUCCCAGAGUGGAAGUGAGAACAUAUCAUGAUGGAUUACAUGACUAGACUGACAAAGUCAGCUCACUUUCAAAAGGGCUUGAGUUUGGAUAGGCACGCAGAUCUAUACAUGCGUCAGGUGGUUCGUAUGCAUGGAGUGCCGGUUACGAUAACUUCAGAUAGAGACUUAAGGUUUACUAUCAUUUUUUUUUUUGGAAGAACUUACAUAGUGCCUUAGGUACCAAGCUUCUGUACAGUACGGCAUAUCAUCCUCAGACGGAUGGCCAGUCUAAGAGGACAAUUUAGACCCCCGAGGAUAUGUUGAGAGCUUAUGUACUAGACUUCAAAGGAAGUUGGGAAGAUCAACUACACUUGGUGGAAUUUGCUUAUAACAACAGUUAUUAACAGAGCAUCAAGAUGGCUCCAUUCAAAGCAUUGUAUGGCAGAGUGUGCAGGACACCGGGGUGUUGGGAUGAAGUUGGGGAAAUGAAGAUUAUGGGCCUAGAGUUGGUCCAGCAGUCAGUGGAUGCCAUGGCAGUGAUCAAAAACAGAUUAAAGAUUGCUCAGAGUAGACAAAACAUAGACAAGCGUCGAAGGCUUUUGGAAUUCUAAGUUGGUGAUCAUGUUUUUCUAAAGGUGUCACCAAUGAGGGGAACUUCGCGCUUUGGAAAGAAAGGAAAACUGAGUCCGAGGUAUGUAGGUUCGUUUGAGAUUCUUGAGAGAAUUGGGAGCCUAGCGUAUCGUCUUGCGUUGCCACCAAGAUUGACACAAGUGCACGACGUCUUUCACGUGUCGAUGUUAAGGAAGUAUGAGCCCAACUCGACCCACGUGCUCAAUUUCGAGGAAUUGGACGUGGAUGAUUGUGUGUCAUACGUUGAAAGCCCGGUUUAGAUUGUGGAUCGUAAAGAACAUGUUCUGCGUACAAAGACCAUUCCAUUGGUUAAAGUGGUCUGACAACACCACGAUAUUGAAGGAGCAACGUUGGAGACUGAAGAGUCGAUGAGACAAUUGUACCCCCACCUUUUUGCUUAAGAUUUGUAAGGUUUAAAUUUUGAGGAUGAAUUUUUAUAAGAGGGGAAGAAUUGUGACAUCUCAGACUUUCAGUCCUAUUUUCUACUGAAUAAAUCGAGCAUUUCAUUGACGCGCCUAUAGAGCUGUUCUCAGAGCUGAUGAUUUUUGAGAUAACUAGACUAUUUAGGGAAGCCAUUAAGGAACUUUAAUGCAAUAGACUUAAGAAUUUGACCAGAAAUUGGCUAUUCGACCGUGCUCAUCUUUAGAGGCCAUUACGACAUAGUUCAAAAGUGAGAAUAUUGUAUUUUGGCUAAGGUCGAUCGUGUACCCACACACGGGUAUUUUUAUCGGGUAUGAUAAAAAUGGUGAAUUUGUUGGAUGGUCAGGAUGGUAUACUAUAUCAGCCUGAGGGCCAUGAUAUAUCAGUUUUGGGUGAGUAGUAUACCUUAGCAGCUUUUCGAGAGCAUUAUUAGUAUACUAUAUCAGCCUACGGGCUUUGAUAUGUUAGCUUAGGGCGAGCAGUAUAUUCGGUUGUCAGCUGUUGGUGAGUCAUAAUCUAUAAGUUUUGGGUGAGCUAUACUAUCUAUCUUUAGCUUAGGGUGAGCAGUUUUGAUAUGAUCGGACUUUAUAGAUAGUAUUGAAUGGGCCGACCGAGUGAAGGUCGUGAUGACAUGGAAUCGACUGAGUUGAUUGAUCGAUGACUCAAUUUGAUUUGAUGAUUUGAUUGGUUGAUGUGAUUCAUGAGUAUAUGAAAUGUACUGACUUGCAGGAUGAAACUGAGGCAAAUGUAAGUCCUCUGACCUGUACUUAUGCUUAGGUAGCCCUUGGGGCAUAUUUUCUUCCUAGUUGGGGUUUAAGGGGUUGAACUUGCUAAGACGUUGUUUCACCCUAUUGUGGGAUAACAUUUUCAGGUCCCUAAAUGGUGGCUCCUCCUGAGCGUUUUGGAUAGUCGAAGAAGGUCACUGAGUAGGUGUCUUAUAUUCUGCUGCAUGGGAGCCCAAGGGGCUGGGUCUAUGAGCUAAUAAGGAUCGUGGUCUGGGUUGAUGAGGCUCUACCCCACAAGGUACCCCAUCAAUACAGAUCAUGGUACUGUCGUGAGCGGAAUGGCUAGAGAGAGGGUCCCAUACCGGAAUCUAAUAUACAUCUAUAUGUGCUGGAGGUUACUUUUGGGAAAGGCACAUCAGAUCCUUCCAGUGGUUCGGUGGUAGACCCGGAUCUUUCAGAUCUAGGGACCCCGGUGAAUCCAGCUGAAGGCUCCAAUUAGGAUGAGGAUAUGUAGUUUUAUGAAACCCCCCAUGAUUUGCAGACCUUGUUUUUAUAGACUGGUAUUGUAUAUGACAUGGUUUGGUAUGUAUAUAUAAGUGUAGUUUAGUUUUUAAAAAUUAUGGUCCUACUUUCCUAUCCCAUUUUGUUGUUGUCUGGGGGUUAGUUAUUCGCUUCUACAUGGGCAUUAAAAUGAAUGGGUUAGUGAUGCGUCCUAGGAUGUCGCUAUUUAAUCGAUCGCAGAGGGAUGGGCACGUGCUCGGAGGAUCGGGGUGUGACAUCCCCAUUUAAGUGGUAUCAGAGCAGGGUUAGUAUUGUAGUGAUAAUGUGCGAUGGUUUAUGAGUAGUUAGUAGGAAAUGCCGUUAUUUCAUGCUGGUGCAUAUCUGUGAUAGCUGAUUGGUAGAAUUGUUUGUUUGUGUGGAUCUCUCAACUUCUAAUUCAGUGUGGAAUUGGAAGACAGGUUUCAGUAGAAAACUGAGUUACGAGUGAUUAGGAGUAGAGGACUCCUAGUGUCACGCCCUAAUCCUCAGGCAUGUACACAUCCUUCUGCUUGGUCAAUUUUAAAAUGCAAUAUCCUAGGACUAUGUAUCGCCGACCUCUUCAUUUUAAUUAGCACAUGCGGAAGCAAUUAUAAAUCCCCAGACAAUAAAACAAUGGGAUAGAAAAGUAGGCCAAAAUUUUCACAAUAUGAAAACGCAUAACCACACUUUUUAUACAUAGCACAACCCAAGAUAUACUUCACAAAACUAUUCACAACUUUCUAGUCUCACUCUAUCCACACAUAUAUAGGGUUCGUAAAAAGGAUGGGAUCUCAACCCUCAUCCUGGUCAUACUCAAGAUCGUAUGGAUCCUCCUCUGACUCCUUAUCGCUUUCCUCCUCUUCAAACUCCUCUUUCUCUUCAGGUUCCUCCUUAGCUAUCCCUCACUCCUCGUCCUCCUCUAGACCUUCCACUUCUUGCUCCAUGAUCUCACCUUCCUCUAUCUUAAAAUUUUCAUCCUCUAUAGUGUAUACAGGUGAAGUCGGCUCACUCCCGAGCGCAAGAUCUCUAGCAUCAUCUAUGCCUCCACCAUCGAGGUCUGCAAUCCCCUCACCAAAAGCUUCCUCCAAGAUGGGAUAAGGUAUAUUCUCUUCAGGGAUGUGACCUAUUCUCCGCCUAUCAUGAUAGUAAUGAUACCAAGAUUGAUACUCAUGGCGUACAAGGUUGUCCUGGCCAACAUCAACCCAUAACAUCGACUCAAUCAAAACAUGUUCCAACCCUUUUGGAUGAGGAUGAACGUGGAAGUGAGUUUCUUUCUCGGUGAUAUCCACUGGAAUGCCAAACUGUUCUAGAGGAGGGGGAGGUACCGGUGCUACCAUUUAGGGGCCUGAAAUGGUAAUACAAUAACCAUUGAGACAACGUCUCAGCAAGUUCUACCCCACUAUGACUCGAUUAGGAAACCAAUAUGCCAUAAGGUUGCCUAAGCACAAUACGAGUCAGAAGACUUAUCUUGGCAUCAAUCCCAACUUGCAAUUCAAGAUUAUAUACAUAUGCCUCAUAUAUCACAUCAAACAAUCAAUUAAUUCACAAUAAUCGGAUCAAAUCAUUGAUCAAUCGACCUAACCGACUACAUGUCAGUCGGACCAUCUCUAGGUCAUUUCCCUCCAUACUAUAUAACCUCCAAUAGUACACUUAGUCACAUAACCCCAUUGAUGCUCUCGGGCGUCAUUUUCGCCAAGGUGAUGUAUGUAAUAGACAGUUAUGUGUGUUUUUUAAGGCGCCGUUUUUGCCAGUGAAAUCCCUAACCACCGAACCAUGUAUGUCCGUAAUGAUGUAUGCACUGGACCAUUACGUGCGUUCUUUAAGGCGCCGUUUUCGCUAGUGAUAUCCUUAAUCACCAAACCAUGUAGGUCCAUAAAUCACGUACAUUCUUUCUCUCUGGCGCCGUUUUUGCCAACGUGAUAUAUAUAAUAGGUAGCUACAUGCGUUCUUUAAGGCGCCGUUUUCGUCAGUGAUAUUCCUAAUCAUUGAACCACGUGUACCCAUAAUGAUGUGUGCACUGGACCGUUAUGUGCGUUCUUUAAGGUGCCGUUUUUGCUAGUGAUAUCUUUAAUCACCGAACCACGUAGGUCUAUAAAUCACGUACAUUCUUUCUCUCUGCUAUCGUUUUUGCCAAUGUGAUAUAUAUAAUAGGCAGUUAAGUGUGUUCUUUAAGGCGCCGUUUUCGCUAGUGAUAUUCUUAAUCACCGAACCAUGUAUGCCUAUAAUGAUGUGUGCACUAGACUGUUACGUGCGUUCUUUAAGGCACUGUUUUCACCAGUGAUAUCUUUAAUCACCGAACCACGUAGGUCCAUAAAUCACGUACAUUCUUUCUACUUUAGCCUAUCAAAGCAUUAUUGAUGCUAAAUAAUUAUACUCGGCCAUCUACCAGUCAAUCACUCAAUUUCACUCAACUUAGGAUAAAUUCCUAAAAUAUCACAAUUUAUUCAAUUUCACACAAUGUAAAGCUCAAAUAAAUAAACAAACUACACCAUGACAAUUAGCAUAAAAUUUUGGGAUAAGUGUUCCAGAAGUCCUAAAACUUGUCGCGAAAAUGCAUUUGAGUCCUAAAACUUGCAAAAAGUACAAAUAAGUCCUAAAACUUGUCAAAAUGUUUCAUUUGAGUCCUAAAAUUGACGCCGUCAGUUUUAUUGACGGAAAAUGUUGACGUGGCGUUGACGUAGUAUUUUAAAUAAUUUUUUUAUUUUCUAGCUGGUUUUUAAAAAUAAUUUUUGAUUCAAUUUUAAAAAAAAUUAUAUUUAAAAGCUAAAAUUCAAUUUUUAAAAAAUGUUAAAAAAAAACGGGAAGAAGAGGUGGCCGCCCAUCGCUGGAGGGACCGGCGACAGUCGCCGGCCCCAGGCGAGGGCCGGUGACCCUCGCCUGACGCGGGCGAGGGCACCCAGAUCUGGGCACACUGGCCCUCGCUUGGGGGCCGGUGACCGUCGCCAGCCCUGGGCGAGGCCUCGGCGGCCCUCGUCUGGGGCCGGCGGGGCUCGCCCAGAUCUGGGCGUUGCCGCGAAGCGUGAGGGCCACGCGAGUGGCCCGCUCCCGUGCUUCCCUGUGCUCAACGCUAGCAGAUCCGAGCUAGUUGCUGGGCCGCUAGUCACCACUGUUCCGAGUCCCCUCGUUGGCGACCUCCGCCCACGACCAAACGACUUCCGCAUCUCUGUGCCCGGCCAGAUCUGGGCGAGCCUCGCCGGCCCAAGGCGACGGCCACCGAGGCCUCGCCUAGGGCUGGCGACGGUGGCCGGCCCCCAAGCGAGGGCCGGCGUGCCCAGAUCUGGGCGCCCUCGCCCGCGCCAGGCGAGGGUCGCGAGGGCUCGCCUGCACCAGGUAAGGGUCGCGAGGCCUCGCCUUGGUCGGGCGACGGCUGGCAACCGUCGCCGGCCCCUCCGGCGAUGGACGGCCGCCUCCUCUGCCCUUUUGUUUUUUAAUAGUUUUUUAAAAAAUGAAUUUUAGUUUUUAAAUUUAUAUUUUAAAAAAAAAAAUUGAAUAAAAAAUAAUUUAAAAAGCUAGCUGAAAAAUAAAAGAUAAUUUAAAAAGCCAGCUGGAAAAAUAAAAAAUAAUUUAGAAUGCCACGUCAGCAUUUUUAACAGAAAAUGCUAGCGGUGUUAGCUUUAGGACUCAAUUGAACUAUUUUGACAAGUUUUAGGACUUAUUUGCACUUUUUGCAAGUUUUAGGACUGAAAUGCAUUUUCGCGACAAGUUUUAGGACUUCUGGAACACUUAUCCCUAAAAUUUUAGUCGCCGGCUAUCCUGCCUAAUUUAUGGAAAAUAAAUAAAUAAAUAAAUUUCAAAAAUUAAUAAUUAAAUACUAAAAAUCCAAUUUAGGCCCGUAAUGCCUAAUUGAAGCCCGAGAAGGGUUGGGAAAAAUCCCGAGAUGCAUCCAAUAAAUAUUAUAGGCUAUUCUCUAGCUAAGUACACUAACCACCUAACUAAUAUGCAAUGCACUUAACUAAUAAUUACUAAUCCAUUCUAAUCUAACCACCUAAUUUUACUUACUUAACACUAAUCAACCAUUGAGCAUAAUUAAUCUACUAAGCGAUGAUUAGUGAGGUUACUCACUUGAUUAGUGAACGGGUCGGAUCAAAACGAUGAGGACGAUGCGGGGGUUGUUUCUUCCCAAAGCGGGCCUCAGGUUUGGGGCCCAGAAACACCUCAAAAUGGGCCAAAAGGUUGCUGCGAGACCCACUAACCAAGCUGCUGGUCUUGGCCGGUUGAUGGCUGAAAUAGCACUAGUUGAGGUGAGCAAGGCCGGCGACAACUAGGCAGAGCUCCGGUGGGGUUGAGGCGAGGCAUAUGGCGGUCCGACUGCUAAACAAGGCUGGAACAGUGAGAUGGGGCUAAAACAAAAUGCAGGAAAAGUGAGGGUUGAUUGGUGGACGUUCCUUCGCGGGCGUGAGGUAGCAACGGCGGAGAAGACUAACGAAAAUGAAGCUGUAGCGUUGAUUGAGGGGUGCGGCUGAACAAAGGAGAAAGAGAUGGAGGCUUGCGUGUGUGUCGGCCAAAUGGGAGUGAAAGUGUCGCAAAUGGAUGAAAGAAAAUAAAGAACAAAAGAGAGAAAGGAGAUGAGGUGUGUCGGCAAGAGAGGAUGAGAGAGAGAAGUAGAUAAGCUUGACUAAAGUCAAGAUAACGUGAGAAGGAAAAAUGGGGCACGUCAGGUUGUCGGUGGGGUGGUUCCGCACACGCGAGAAAGAGAGAGAGAGAGAGAGCGAGCGCAAGUGAGUGGGGGCAUUCGGCCAAGGGAAGGGAAAAUGAGAAUUUAAAAGAAAUUAUCCUAAAACCAACAAUUAUUGUCUCGCUUGCUUUUGUAUAGUCCAAUUUGAUCUCUCAAAAUUCCCAGGCUAAGGUACUUGAUCCUCACUUGUUUUUUUGCACAAAAUUUCCCUUAAACAACAAGUUUUGGGCAACAACAAUGGCCAUUUCUUCAAUUCCGAAUUUUAAUUUAUUUUUCUUUGGAAUCUGAUUUUAUAAACAAACAAAUCCGGUUGAGAUCCAAUUUGAAUUCAUAAAAAGUCCAAACAACUUCUAUUCAUCAAUUCACUCACAUCAAAUGCCAAAAAUCCCUUCAAAUUAGCCAAUUCGAAUUUCUAUUCAUUCUCCUAAUUGUGACAUGACAGAAUCUUCAAUUUCCGAAAUCGGAUUUGAAUUCACAGUUAAUUUUUGUUUGGCGCGUUUUUAGCGUGACUAACGUUACCGAGUAGUUUUCAGAACUUUUUAGGGUAAACAACCCGUGGUCGAUUUUCUUCAAGCCAUUAUGAACCCCACUCGACUCAAUGGCGACUCUCGAUUGUCGUGAAAAUCUCGAGGAUUCAAUUACGGGCACAGGGUACCAAAACGACAGUAAAAUAAAUUAGUGUCGGUCGAUGAGAAUUUCCCAAUUUAAUGGAAUCACCCACGAUCGGCCACACAUCUCAGUAGCACAGACCUAUCUCUGAUCUCAAAUCGAUUUUAACUGUGCCGUAAUGGCCUCUAAAGAUAAGCACGGUCAAGAAACCGAUUCCUAAUCAAAUUCUCAAGUCUAUUUGCCUUAAAAUCCUUAAUAGCUUCCCCAGCUAGUCUAGUUAUCUCAAGAGUGAUCAGUUUUGAGAACAACCCUAUAGGCGCAUCAAUGAAAUGCUCGAUUUAUUCAGUAGAAAACAUCAUUGAAAAUUUGGGAUGUCACACCUAGGAAGAGGACUAUAGGGCCUGUUACUUGGGGUAGGACGCUAACGAGGGUCGAUACCCAAAGAGGUCGUCGAGCGCUAGCUUAGGCUAGCGCUAGUGGAGUAGCACCACCUUAGGUUAAUGCUGGGGUAGCAGCCCCUGGUGAUCUUAGAAUCGAAGGGAUCAUGCAGGCGCUUGAAGUGAUGAGAGAUCUGAUAGGGCAGCAGGCCCAUAAUCAAGCCGCUACCGCUCAAGUGAUUGCUAUUGCUGCCGUUGCCACCAUUGCUAAAGUUGCACCCGUUGCUGCACUUGUCGAAGUUACAGUUGGGAAUGUAGUUGUGGAGAGGGAGAGACUAAUCCAUAAGUUGGUGGAGCAGUUUUUGAAGCUGAACACACCAAGGUUCACCGGUACCGGAGAUCCAGAGACUGCCUCACUAUAGGUUCAAGAUCUAGAGAAGGCCUUUGCACUGCUAAUGUACACUAAGGCAAAGAAAGUUGUCCUGGCAGUGUACCAACCGCAGGGUAACGUGAACACCUGGUGGAGAGCCGUUAGAGAUACAGUAUUUCCAAAAUGUGUGGUCUCGGUGUGAUACGCUUUCCUAAGAGUUUUCAAUGGCAAGUACUUUUCGGGUAGCGCUCGAGAACAGAAGAUGGAGGAAUUUCAAUGCCUCCGCCAAGGGAUGAUGACUGUUAACCAGUAUGAGGUCAAGUUCGUGGAGCUUUCUCAAUAUGCUCCGAGGUUGAUAGAGGAUCUAGAAGAAAAAGCUCGAAGGUUCAAGAAUGGCCUUCGGCUAGAGCUGAAACAAUCGCUGGUACCGUUGGAUCUGAAGGACUACCGCGAAGUGUACAACUAAGCUUAGUUGAUAGAGAGAAGCCUAAACAAACAAGCCGCCUCGUAUGGAUCGAGGUUUAAUUCAAAUUGAGAUGGGAAUGGAUAUAGGAAGAAGCCCAUGACCGGAGGAAGAUUCCAUGUCUUGCCCAAUAGGAAGGGUGGAGUUGGCAAGUUAGGGCCAAGUCAAAAUGGUACAUGUCGCUUUUGUGGAAGGCAACAUGGUACAGCUCCGUGCCGUCGAAGACCAGGCGUUUGUUUUGGAUGUGGCUAGUAGGGUCACAUGGCCAGAGAUUGUCCUAGAAGGCCAAAAGGACAACUGUAGUUACUGCCGCCACCACCGUUGGGUCAGUUUAGGGGUUUUGCACUGCAGAACGCACCACAGGGUGGACAAAACAGACCCCCAGCUAAAGGGAUAAUGUAUGCCAUCACCAGAGGUCAGGCAGAGGACACGCCUAACGUGAUUACAAAUACGGUUUUGCUGAACGACCAUGCUGCUUAUGCUUUAUUCGACUCUGGAGCGACUCAUUCUUUUAUUGCUAAGCAAUAUGUUAAGUUGAUGGGAUUAAGUCAUGAGUUGCUGGAGUUAGUGGUUAGCAUAUCUACACCGUUAAAGGAUAAGGUGUUGUUUGCAUUGGGUUGUUUUGGUUGCAAGUUAGCGAUUAAUGAGCGAGAGGCGAAGAUAGAUUUGUUAAUCCUAGUCAUGUGUGAUUUUGAUUUGAUAAUUAGCAUGGACUGGCUCACCAAGAAAAGAGCUAAGAUGGACUAUUACCGUAAAGUGAUUUAGUUUAACCUGUCAGCAGGUGAAAGUUUCAAGUUUGUUGGGAAUCGAGGAGGACCCUCGAUUACCAUGAUCUCGUCGCUUGAGGCAACCCGUUUGUUAGACGGUGGUUGUCAAGGUUACCUGGUGAUUGUUGUGGAUACGACAGUUGAGGAAUUGAAGGUUGAAGAUAUCUCAAUGGUGUAAGAAUUUCCAGAUGUUUUCCCGAAAGAAUUGACAGGCCUGCCGCCAGAGCGGGAGAUUAAGUUUGUGAUUAAGCUAGCGCCCAGGAUAGAGCCAAUCUUUAAGGCUCCUUAUCGGAUGGCGUUGUUUGAGUUGAAAGAACUGAAGGUGCAUAUGCAGGAAUUGUUGGAUAAUGGAUUCAUACAUCCUAGUGCAUCACCUUAGGGAGUACCAGUUUUGUUCGUGAAAAAGAAAGAUGGUUUGUUGUGCCUGUGCAUCGACUAUCGUCCACUCAAUCAGGUGACAUUCAAGAACAAGUAUCCACUCCCGAGGAUUGAUGACUUGUUUGAUCAGUUGCAAGGAGUGUCUUUAUUCUUGGAGAUCGACCUGAGGACAGGGUAUCAUUAGCUGAGGAUCAAAAAUGAGGAUAUACUGAAGUCAGUGGUUCGUACUUGAUACGGCCACUAUGAGUUCACGGUAAUGCUGUUUGGUUUGACGAAUUCAGCUGCUUUCAUGGAUUUGAUGAACAUAGUGUUUAAAGAAUAUCUGGAUCUAUUUGUGAUCGUGUUCAUCGAUGAUAUUCUGGUGUAUUCAAGGAGUGCUGAGGAGCAUGAGAAUCAUCUAAGAUUGGUACUGCAGACCCUGAGGAUUCAUCAGUUGUAUGCUAAGUUUAGUAAGUGUGAGUUUUGGUUAACUUGUGUCUCUUUCUUAGGUCACUUGAUUUUAGGGGAAGGAAUCUCCGUGGACCCAACCAAGAUUGAAGCAGUGAUCAACUGGCCAAGACCGACUACAGUGACGGAGAUCAGAAGCUUUCUGGGUUUAGUAGGGUAUUACCGACGAUUCGUGGAAGGAUUUUCAAUUUUAGCAUUGCCAUUGACUCGACUUCUGAAGAAAGAAGAAAAGUUUGUGUGGACAGACAAGUGCGAGUGUAGUUUUCAAGUGCUUAAGCAGAAGCUAAUUACCGUACCUGUGCUGACCAUUCCAUUUGGUCUUGGAGGAUAUGAGAUCUAUAGUGAUGUGUCAUUCAGAGGAUUGGGUUGCGUGUUGAUGCAACAUGGUAGGGUGGUUGCAUACGCUUCCCGUCAGUUGAGACCUCAUGAGUAGAAUUACCCAACGCAUGACUUAGAACUUGUCGCGAUCAUUUUCGCUCUGAAGAUUUGGAGGCAUUACUUGUGUGGAGAAAGAUUCCAAAUCUUCACUGACCAUCAAAGUCUCAAGUAUCUAUUUUCUCAAAAGGAGUUAACUAUGAGACAACAUCGCUAGAUGGAACUUCUGAAGGACUUCGAUUGUGAUAUCCUAUAUCACCCUGGGAAGGCGAAUAAGGUGCCGACACUUUGAGUCAAAAGUCUUUUGUCGUAUAGAUGAUGGUUAAGGAAUGGGUUUUACUCGAGAGAGCUCGAGAUUUGUUAUUCAAAUUUGAGGUAGGCCACCUUUUGCAUCUUAUGGCCACCCUCAGAAUUGAACCGGAUGUUUAGAUCAGGAUCAAGGCACUUUAGCUGACAGACCCGGAUGUUCAGAUCAGGAUCAAGGCACUUUAGCCGACAGACCCGGAUGUUCAGAUCAGGAUCAAGGCACUUCAACCGACAGACCCAAAUGUUCAGAAGAUUUUGCAAGAAGAUACCGAUAAGAGGAAGGCUGACUUUCAUAUUUGUUAAGAUGGAACACUGAGGUUUUGAGGACAAUUGUGUGUACCUGAUGAUGCAGAGCUUAGAGAGGAGAUAUUAUCGGAAGCUCAUCGUAGCAGUUACAGCAUUCAUCCUGACAGUACGAAGAUGUAUCAAAAUCUGCGUCAACACUAUUGGUGGUUUGGUAUGAAGGCGGACAUUGCCUAGUAUGUCGCCAAGUGGUUGAAGUGUCAGCAAGUGAAGGCACAUCAUUGUAAGUCAGGAGGACUUCUACAAUCUCUCGAGAUCUCAGAGUGGAAGUGAGAGCACAUUAUGAUAGACUUUAUGACAGGUUUGUUGAUGAGUAAGAGGGGAUAAUGAUUCCAUUUAGGUAAUGGUCGACAAACUGACGAAAUCGACCCACUUCUGGACUUGGAUAGGCAUGCAGAGUUGUAUGUACGCCGAUAGUUUGACUGCAUGGAGUGUCGGUAACAUUAACUUCAGACCGAGAUCCGAGAUUCACAGUUGCUUUUUGGAAGAGUUUGCAAGCUGCUUUAGGAAUGAAGCUACAGUGCAAUAUGACAUAUCAUCCUUAGACGGAUGGCUAAUCUGAGAGGACGAUUCAGACCUUUGAAGACAUGCUGCAAGCUUGCGUGUUGGAUUUCAAGGGAAGUUGGGAGGAACAACUUCACAUUGUUGAGUUCGCCUACAACAACAGUUACCAACAGAGUAUUUAGAUGGCUCCUUUUGAAGCGUUGUAUGGCAGAGCAUGCAGAACGCCCGUAUGUUGGGAUGAAGUUGGGGAAAGAAAGAUUAUAGGCCUAGAGUUGGUUCAGCAGUCAGUGGAUGUAGUUGCAGUUAUUAGGGAUAGAUUAAAGACCGCUCAGAGCCACCAGAAAAGUUACAUAGAUAAGCGCCGGAGACCACUGGAAUUCCAAGUUGGUGAUCACGUUUUUCUGAAGGUGUCACCGAUAAGGGGAACUUUGCGCUUUGGCAAGAAAGGAAAGUUAAGUCCGAGGUACAUAGGUCCAUUUGAGAUUCUGGAAUGAAUCGAGAUCCUGGCGUAUCGUCUUGCAUUACCGCCAAAGUUGACGCAAGUGCAUGACGUCUUUCACGAGUCGAUGUUGAGAAAGUAUGAGCCUUACUCGACCCACGUGCUUAAUUUUGAGGAAUUGGACGUGGAUGACUGAGUGUCAUACGUGGAAAACCUAGUUCAGAUUAUGGAUCGGAAAGAGCAAAUUAUGCGUACUAAGACCAUCCCAUUGGUCAAAGUAGUCUGGCAACACCACGGCACUGAAGGAGCAACCUAGGAGAGUGAAGAGUCGAUGAGACGUUUGUACCCUCACCUUUUUGUUUAAAGAUUGUAAUGGUUUAAAUUUUGAGGACGGAAUUUUUAUAAGAGGGGAAGAGUUGUGACAUCCUAAAUUAUGGGUUCUGCCUUCAAUUAAAUAAAUCGGGCUUUUUAUCGACACAGAUCAUGGUACUGUUAUGAGUAUGAACUCGUGAAGUCCGUGGUCUGGGUUGAUGUAAGGUACCUCAUUGAUACAGAUCAUGGUACCGUCGUGAACGAAAUGGGCAGAGAGAAGGUCCCAUACCGGAAUCUGAGAUAUUUCUUUAUGUGCCGGAUGUUGCUUUUGGAAAUGGUACAAUUGACCUGUGACAUCCCGAUUUUACAAUUCUGAUUUCAAUUGAAUAAGUCUGGCAUUUCAUCUUCGCGUCUAUAGCUCUCUUCUAUGAGUUGGCCACUCAUGAGAUAACUAGUCUAUCAAGUGAAGUCGUUAAGGAAUCUAAACACAAUAGACUUGAGAAUUCGACCAAGAAUCGACUGUUUGACUGUGCCAAUCUACAAUGGUCAUUGCGGCAUAGAUCGAUUAGAGACCGGAGAUAGGUUGAUUCGACAAAGGCAUGUGAUUAAGUGUGGGUGAUUCCACUUGAUUACACAAAUCUUGUCGAUCGGCACUAGACCGAUUUCUCUGUAGUUUUAGUACCCUGUGUCCGUAUUUGAAACCUUAAGAUUUCUACAACAACCAAGAAUUGCCAAUGUGUCGAAGAUGCACUUUGUGGCUCGAAAACAAUCGACCACAGGUCAAUUGCACGAAAAGUUCCUAAAAGCUACUCGGUAGAUUAUGAUGCGCUAAAGUCGCGCAAGAUUGAAAUUAACCGUGAUUUUAAAUCUGAUUUUAGAAAUUGAAAGUUCUACCAUGUCACAAUUUAUUUUAGGAACAUCGACUCAUGCUCAGAAGAUUUUUCUACAAACCGAGAUUUUUGGUAGAAAAAGCAAAGUAAGGCCGUUUUUGAUCGGGAAAGUCAGAGGGCCGCUUUUGAUCGCAUCUUUGGCCGUCAAGUUGGAUAAAUUGAUGGGGAAAAUUUAUGAGAUGGACAAGGACACCUUGAUGGAUUUAAUUGGGCUUCAAUUGGAUUUGUUUGGGUGAGAAUUGAUUGAAAUUGAUUGAGAUUGAAGUGGGAAAUGUAACAAAUUCAUAUGCACUAUGGACCCAACAUUUUGGACCCCUUAGAGCUUCUAGAAGAGGGUAAAAUGGUCUAGAAAAUGUUGAUGGAAGACAACACAUGGUGGGCCAUGUUUGAGGGUUAUGAGAGAGAGAAGUGGUCCCCCCAAGAGAGAACCGGUUUUCCCCCUUUCUCCUUGUUGCUUUCGUCGAGCUCCUCCUCCCUCUCCUUGUUGUGCGACGCCUCAACGGCCAGAGAGACUGCUGGAUCCAGCUAGCAGCACCGCCCAUCGUCCUUCGCCGCCAUCGUUUGCCGUCACAGCCCCGUCCACACCUCCACCUCCCUCUUUCCCUCCAGCUACCAUCGACUUCUUCUUCUUCUUCUUCUUCUUCUUCUUCUUCUUCUUCUUCUCUGUGUUGUUCGAAACCCAGCAACAAGCCAGAGAAGCCCUCGUCGUCGUCACGCGCCGCCGCUGGACCGCAUGUCGUCGUUGCUCGCUGUCGCAUGUCACCACUACUCCACACUCACGCGCGCUUGCCCAAUGCCUAGCCGUCUUCAUUUGCCUCUGUCCUUGCCUCCAGGAGACUAUUCGGCCAGCACUGACCGCAUAUCAGUCUCCUCCGGCCACUGUGCGCGCCCACCUCAGUUCAUUGGAGCUCUGCCUAGCCCUUGUCGCCCUUACUCACCUCAACCAGCCACCGUCUCCCCCUCCUUCGGCCUCAACCAGCAGUGGAUAGAGAGCUGAAGAAAUGGGUAUUUCAACAACUAUUUGGCCCGUUUUGGCCGGCUUCUCGACCCCGAAAGCUUGGCCUGCCUUGAGGAAAAUCAACCCCCACGACAUUCCCAUUGUUUUGGUCCGUUCAGCUCGUUAAGCAAGUGAGUUUAACUCACUAAUCCUUACUUAGAAGGUUAAUAAUGCUUUAAGGAUGCUUAGUUUAAGUUAAGUAAGUUUAGGUGGUUAGAUUAGUUUAGUUAAGUGUGGAGUAGAUUAAAGGGUGCGAUUAAUUUAAUGUAUGAUUAAUUAAGACUAAGUGGAUGUUUAGAUUAGUGUAAUCUUGUUUAGUCCUUAAUUAAUUAUUUUAGAUUAUUUAAUUUUAUCGAAUUUAUUUAAUUAUUUUAAAAUUUUUAUAUUAUAUAAUACUAAUAAAAUAGUAUUAUUUAAUUAAUUUUCGGAAUAAAUUUAAUUAUUUAUUAUUUUUUGUAAAUUAUUCCGGGAUCAUAAAUCGUCGAAAUUUCGUGUUGAUCGCUGUUAUGUAUUCAAAUUAUGAAUUUGAUGGUUGUAUAUUACAAAUUGAGUGUUAAUUGUGAAAAAUAUGGACUUUAUUCAUGAAAAUCCUAGGUGUCGGGUUUGACACCGAAAUUGAAUUUUAAGGAUUAUAUUAAACAGUGGGGUUUGAAAAGGUAAGAUAUUAGUUUUUCUGGUUCGAAAUUAACGUGCUCCCAUACACGUGAAUAAUUUCUUGAACGUUUUCAAUAUAAAGAAAAGAGGUCGGGAUUACUAUUUUAAUGGAAGUCUUAAGUGAAAUGCAAAGUGUCUUGGGCCGAGUAUGAAUUUAUUGUGUGAUAAUUAAGAGGACUUGUCUUGAGCUAUUAAGUUGGACUUGCCCCUAUAUGGGAUGCCCCAUAUAACGGAUGCGGGUUGCAAUAGAUUUUGGGCCCAUGCUUAUUCGGGAACACUGUUUACAUAGUGACGAAGCCGUGCUCCAAGGUGGGGAGAUGAUGCCUAGCUAAAUGCCAGUAGAUAGCCGAACCGCGAGUAGGUUAUGCCCAUGUGUGGCAGUGAGUAACAAUUGGAACGCAUGCUGAGUGUUGUUGAUGAGCCGGAUUAUGGAACGUGUCAUAAUGAUAUGGUCUUAUAAUCAGGACUCUUGUGGUUGUUGGUUAUCUAAAAGUUAUUGCGUUCCAGUUGUUUAAGUUCGUAACUCUACACAUGAUUGAGUGAUAUGAACAUGAUUAAGUGAUUUGAAUUGUGCUAACCUGCAGGAAGGAACUGAGGCAAGGUAAGUCCUCUGUGUGGUGUGGCUAGGCCAUCCUGGGGUGUAUUUCCAUUCUAAUAGGGGUUUAGGGAGUGAACUUACUGAGACAAUGUCUCAACCCAUUGCAGGCUUACAUUUUCAAGUCCCUAGUGGAUGGAGCGGCCAUUUCAUUAUGGUUGGCCUUAUGGAGUUACAGAGGUGAAGUUGAAGGAUUGGAGAUUGUGUUCGACUUGUAGGUCGUAGGACGGUCCCUUUUUAUAAGUCGGCAUUUUGUAGACUUUUGGUUAUAGACCUCUGUUUGUAAACUCCGUUAGUUUAUGUAAGUGAUUGAUUGUGAAAUUGCUUUCUGCUUUUCUAUCCCGUAUUUUAUUAUCAGGGAUUUUAUAAUACGUUUCCGCAUGUGCAUAUAAAAUGAAUGGGUCGGCGACGCGUCCUAGGAACGUCGCACAUUUAAAUAGACCAUGGUGGGAUGUUCAUGCGGUCGGGGUUCGGGGCAUGACACGACCCUCUAGGUGGUUCAGUGGUGGGCCCGAAUCUGUCGGAUCCAGCAUCCCCGGUGUAUUUUGAGGAGGGCUCAAAUGCUUGAGGAUCUAUAACACACCGAACCCCCCCCCCUUUUGCAGACCUUGUGUAUAUUGGCUAGUACUGUAUAUGACCUAGUUUGAUAUGUAUAUAUAAGUGUGUUGUGGUUUGAAAAAUUUAUGGCCCUACUUUUCUAUCACAUCUUGUUGUUGUCUGGGGAUUUAUUAUUCGCUUCCACAUGCACAUUAAAAUAAAUGGGUCGGCGACGUGUCCUAGAACAUCGCUAUAUAAUUGACCGUUGAGGGACGGGCACGCGCUCGGAGGAUCGGGGCAUAACAUGUAUUGACCCUUGCUAAUUAUUAUGGUUGAGCGGUCGAUUUCUGAUCAAAUUCUCUAGUCUGUCGCGUUUAUAUCCCUUAUAGAUUAGUUAACUCAUGAGUGACCAGCUCCAAGUAAAUGACCAUAAGCGUGUCGACGAAAUAAUCAUUGCAUAUAUCUGAAUUAGGGGUCAAAUUUCGGGAUGUUACAGUAUUAUUUGGUUUUUGCAAUUAAAAUCCACUAUAUAUCCCUUUUAGGCGAUACUAUAGAGAGCAGGGCAACCCCAACCAUGCCCAUAAGACAUGUGGACCCAUUGUGUAUUUGAAAGCAUGUUGAGAGGCAGCUGUUGCGAUCCUCCCAGACCGGUCCAAGGAAGACGGGUGCAAAGCUAUUUUCUAGUUAUGUUCGAGUUAAGGAACAACGGUCCUCAAUCAAUAUAGGUGUUGACACCUAAAUUUUGGCAACCCAAUUAGUUUUUAUUGCAUUAAAAAUUAUGGAUUAAUUUUUAACCCCUAAACAAAAAUAUAAUAUUAAAUUGCAUAGCAUACAAUUUUAAGAGCAUUUUUUUAUUAUUACCUUUGCAUUGGACCUUCGACGGAUGAGUUUGAAUUGGUGGUUCUAAGCUUUAAUUUAGCAAGUUGAACUAAGCCUGCAGUGAUGAAAAUUUGGCUGAACUCGUCACUUGUAUAAGUCCAUCAUUUCUUUAACGAGACAGAAAUUGACAUAUGCUUUGCACAUGCGAAAUUUUAAGUUAGGAAAUAUAAAGAGCAAUAUCAUAAUCUUGAGAAUUCAGUCACAAAAGAGCAACAUCCUGGGUAUAAUAUAUUCGGCCAAGUGCAGCUUGCAAUGAAUAAAAUAAACGUUCACGUGGUUGAAUGAAAGAAGGAAAGAAAUAAAUGGAUAAUAUUCAUUAAAUAAAAGAAAUUAAGGUAGAGGAUAUUGUGAACACUCACAUAUGGAAAAUAGAAUAUUGUGUCCCUUCCUUGAAACCUAAUUUUCUUGCUUAUAAAAAGGGAUGCAUAUUCACAGUUAGGGAGGCCACAACAUAGAAUACAUGGCCAUAAAUGGGGAGAGAAUGGCAAGGUUUACAGAGAAAGAGAGAGGUCUCUCUUCCGAAUCUCCCUCUUAGCCAAGACCCACUUGUCAGCGCCUCUUCCUGUUGGUCGAUCACCACCACUCCUUCCAUGAUGAUGUGAGGCUGCUGUCUCUAGCCGAGUUGUCUUGCCAACCAACGACGAAGCGGCCGCCACCACCUACACGAGAAACUUCUACAUGACCAAGAUUGAUCCCACAAAGCUCUAAUGUUUGUUUUGUCUUGUAGGUUUCUAGGCGAGUUCUAGCAAUAAUCCUGUAAUUCUAUUUGUCUUCGCUACAGCAACACAUCAGUCUUCGAUGACCUUUACAGCCUCCAAGCAAGACCCCGCAUGUGACAUCCUGAAAUUUUGACCCCGUCUUGAUAAAAUGAAAUAGGCUUUCACCGAUGCGCCUAUGGUCAUUUUUUUCUGAACUAAUUACUCAUGAGUUAACUAAUCUAUUAGGUGAAGCUGUUAAGGGAUAUAAGUGCGCUAAAAUCUCUAAAAGCUACCCGAUGGGUUAGAUUGGACUAAAAUUGCAUAUGGUUGAUUUUAACCACGAAAUUGAACAUGGUUUCAGGAAUCGAACGUUCGAGCGUGUCACAAUUCAUUUUUAGGAUUUUGUCUCAUCUUUUGGGAAAAUUCCGUCGAGCCGGGGAUUUUGCAGAAAAAUUCAAAUCGAACAAAAAGAAAUAGGAGGAAAUUCGAAGGGGCACCUUCAGUUGGAAAUUUGGUCACCAAAUUGACUUGUCAUGUGAAGAGUUGAAGGGAAAUUUGUGUGGGCUACUGCCAUGGACCUUUUGGCCAUCUAAAUGAAUUGUUUUGGUGAGAAUUGAAGGAAAAUAAGUGGAAAAUUCGUAAGGGUGGCUGCCAUGUGAAUUUUGGACACCAAAAGCUUUAUUUUUACAAGGAUUUGAAGUGAAAAUAGCCAUUGGAGGAUGGCUUGACUUCUUGGCUGAAGACUUUAGGGCAUAUUCAUCAUUAUUUGGAUAUGUCUCAAGGCUUCUUAGUGGAUGUAGCAUGGACUUUCAGCCCCCUCUCUCUCCUCCAAGUUUCCCUUCUUCCAUGCAUACGCAUCCUUCAGCCGAAACCUCUCCUGCCUUUGCUUUUUCCUCAUUCUCUCCUUCUUCACUAGCGUCCAACCCAUCUCACGUCCUCCCUCUCUCACGCCAACCGGCCCCUUUCUCUUUUUCCUCAUUCCUUUUUAUUUUUAUUUUUCUGCCCCCACUCUCCAUUCAUGCCAACAACAUCAGAACUCCACCAAGCUACCACCUUGCAUCAACCACCAACAGAACAGUCCACCCCUCACAUCCAGAACUCCUCCUAGCGGCCAAGACAAUUGCAUUUUCUCGCCACCAGUCCGUCCGUCAAUCCAACUUCGGCCAACACCCAAACUGCCUGCAUCUGCUUCCACCAGCUCGCUCCUAGUUGUGUCCAACUUGCCUCAGCUAAGCUCGGCCAGCUUCCUCCACAGAACUGAGCAAAGCAGAAUUCCAGACAAGCCGUGAGGCUUGCGAGGCUGUUUUCAGCGUCAUUCGGGCCUCCUUUAGAGCCGCUGUAGACACGGGAUCUCACCGCCAUCGCACUACCGUCGCCGUGGACCCAUUUAUUUGCUAAUCCUGUGAGUUUACUCCCUAAUCCUUGAUUAGAUUGUUAAUUACAUUUAGGAUGUUAGAUUAGUGUUAAUUAGCUUAGUUAGAUUAGUACUAAGUGAGAUUAGUCUUAAGAUGGAUUAGUGCUAAUCUAGAAUGGUUAGAUUAGCCUUAAGAUAGAUUAGUGUAGAUCUAAUUGGUGAGAUUAGCACUAAUGAGGAGAGAUUAGUCCAAUUCAGUGGAUUUUUCCUCAAAUCUCGUUUCUGGACUCGCCAUUUGCCAUUUUUGUGGAUCGAAUUGUGCUGAAAUUUUGAGGUUUAUUUCUUCUUGAAAAAUGUUUUAGAUAUCCUCAGAUAUACUAUAUAUUUUUUCCAAGAUUUUUAUGGAUUUACAAGAACAGGAUUUUAGCUUUGUCAUUUGCAAACAGAACUCCUGUUUUUACUGGAACUAUGACCUUUCAGGAUUCAAGGAAUUUUUAUCAACUCUUAGGGUUCGAAUUUAAAAAUAUUUUUUUCAUGAAAGUUGUUUGUCACUUCUUUUAGUUUAACAUAUUAAAAUUUCAGAUCAAAUGAACAAGUUUUGUAUCUCAAACCAAACUAAUUUUGGAAAACAGACUUUCUGGAAACGGACCCAGUUUUUGUACUGGAUUGAGCGAUUUACUGGGCAAAAUCUAGAAAGAUCUGGGUUAAGGUGUUUUCAUGAAAAUUUUCUUUUAUAUGUUCUUUAUAACAUAUUAAAAUUUGAGAAUUUUCUGAACUCGUUUGAUUAGGUUUUUAGAUUUAAACAUGGAAAUGCAUGAGCGGACGAUUUUUGCUGAUUAGGAUCGGUAGUAAUUUGUAAUUGUUCUUGAUGCUUUCCUUGCUAGAAAUUGCAUAUUUGGUGAUGUGGUUGACCUGUGUUAUGCUUGGAACUUGUGCGUGAUGAAACGUGAAUAAUUGUGCUAUGGUAAUGGUUUAUGGUCUUGGCAAAGGAUGGCCAUUGAAGAGCAAUAUGUGUUUAUGUGAUUAUGUGAUGGCCAUUGAAAGAUGAGGUGACAUAUAUUGUGCUGAGGAAACCAAAUAGGGUGUGAGCUAGUAAAGAAUUAAGUGUUACACGACAACGAAACCUCGUAUGAGCCACCUCUAGAAACUUGUACUGUUGCUUAUUGCAAUCAAGGGCUAGGUGCUACAUGGCAACUUGAGUCACAUGUGAGUCACCCAUAGAAGCCUUGCAAUACUAUCAAGCAUAGUAAAAGGCUAAGUGCUACACGAUAACUAAAUUUCAUGUGAGUCGCCUCUAAAACCUUGUACUAGUGCUAUUUGUAGUCAAGAACUAAGUGCCACAUGAUAACAAAACUCCGUGGGGGAGCAUCUCUAGAACCUUGAGUUUGAAUAUGGAGUUUGGAUAUUGAGAGUGAAUAUCGGGUGUGGAUUGAACCAUCGAUAUGAGUUAUCCGUGCCUGAUUAUGGAACGAAAUUAUGUGACACGGAAUGAGACGUGUCAUAAUGGUUUGGCUUUAUAAUCGGGACCCUUGUGAAUUAUUCGAUGAGUGAUAUAAUGUGUUACAACUAUUGAAUGCAUUUACUAUAUGCAUGUGUUUUAUGAGAUGCACUAGUGUGCAGGAAGGUGCUAAGACAAAGUAAGUUCUGAGUGGUGUAUGUUUAGGACGCUUCCAAGUGAAUUCUUGUCCUCAUCGGGGUUUAGAGUGUUGACUCACUGAGAUUUAUUCUCAUCCCAUCAUGAUUUACAAUUUUCAGGUCCUUAGUCUAGAAAUACUAGAGGGUGUCGUGGAGAAUCCCGAGCUAGAGUCGAAGGGAUCAGGAGUAGAGGUUGUCCGGUAGUUCUUUUAGGGCAGACUUAGGGUACAAACUUGUAGGACUGACUUGAAUUGUAUAUAAAGCGUGAUUGGUGAAAUUUGGUUGUCCUGCUUUUCUAUCCCAUGUUUGUUGUUGUCCGGGUAUAUGUUACGAGUUCGUUUCCGUAUGUGCAAUAAAAUGAUUGGGUUAGCAACGCAUCCUGGGAACAUCAUAGUUCUAUUAACCACUGAGGGAUGUUUGCACGCUCAGGGUUCGGGACGUGACACCACAGCAAUUGCAAUGAUCUUUAGUCCAAUGGUCAUCCAGUGACACUAGCAAGUCCAGUCCAGUGAGGCCCGCUGUUGCGCUCUUAUCAUGCCUCACGGCAUCCAAUUGUGCCAAGCUCUUCAUUGAUGCUUCAAACCAGUCCACCAGCCACCAUAGCCUUCUUGGAGGCUCUCCGUUAGUGACCAAGGCUACCACUGGCGAGCGUAGAUAUCUCAUGUAUCUUCUCUAAUAUUGCUUGUUUUAUUUGAAGGAAAUUCUGGGCUGAGUUUAAGACCACCUUUGGUCAACAUAGACGGGCACAGAGUCAUGGGAAAUUUAAUUUAAUGCACGAUCACACGAAACACAGAGUAACGCGAGUGACGAAAGAGAAAGGAAGAGAAAGGGAUUGCGGUCAAGACCCUCCUCGCAUACGCAGCGCUUUGUCGACCCCAAAUCCCUUGCGGAGAAUCCUGCUACUGUCCUUCCAUCAUCUACAGCCACUCUCGGUGUCUCCUUGCACCAGUUUCCUUUAUAGCCACUGCUGCUCAAACCAUGCGAACUUCCUAGCGAGCCACGAAAUUCACAUUUUUAUGGCAACAAAUUGAAGAAUUCUUGGCAAAGGCUUUCUAGAUCAGAAGAAUACGUGGACUUGGUCAAAAGCACCACGUCAGUUUGGAGUCCAGGAGUCUUCUUGAACUAAUCCUUUCUCUCAAAACUUCAGGCAUCCAUCAAAGUUCAUGCCUUGCACGCACGCACGCCCUUGUUCAUGUUCGGGUUUUGCUGCCACGAGUUGCAUUUAACCCGCAUCUAUCGCCAAGCUGUCCCUCCAGUCCCAACUUGCCUUUAUCAUGAGCUGCAGCGUGAUUCUUUCACUAUUUCUUUAAUUUUUUUUUUUUUUUUUUGCAGGUUAAGCUUUCAUGUGAAGAUGAGCAUAUAGUCAAGCGGUGAAAGGAAGAGAAGUACGUGAAACAAAGUUUAGUGGGAUCGGCUGUGGAUGAGGCCAAAUAAAAAGCACCCUUGACCAUUGACUUCAGCUUGUAAGAAAAGAGAUUGGGCUUUCAUUUUUUUAACUAAAAAAGAACACUUACUCCUGCAAAUAGGCAUCCUCUGCCAACGUCCGCGUUCCUUCGAGAUCACUAGCCGCAAGCUCUACCUCCGCAAGCACGCCCACACCGCGAGCUGUGCCCCCUCCACCUUCGAGUGCCACAACCCUUUCCCGGUCAUCUGUCGAGCUGAUUUCGUUGAGUUCAAAUUUGACAAUUUUACUUGCGAAAUUAGGUAAUUAUCUUAUCUAGAUUUGAUUUAGAUAUUUUACUACUUAAUAUAUAUCUAUUAGUAUACAAUAUGCAUAUUUGUGAGAGAUAGACAUAUCUCCCAAUUAAGAUUUAUUUCCUAAUUUGCAACUGCAUAUAAUCUUUGAUUCCACCUAUAAAGCUUUAGAUGGAAUUAUUGAUUUUGCGAGAAUCUUCAAAAUUGAUAUUUUGAUAUUUAAGGCGCAAGAUCAACUUAUCGGUUUUAUUCGCGAGACUACAAGUUUUUUUUUUUUUGGUCAGUCGAGACUACAAGUUGAUUGGAUGUUAUUUUCUUAGAUCUUGAGUGAUUUAGUGCUUGCUUUAAUUACUUUAUUUGUGCUGAAAACACAAAAACUUGCGCAACAUGUGGAUUAGAAUUAGUUUUGUAGAUAGUUAUGCAUGAUAUAAUAGUUUUGCUACCUUUUUAGGAUGCAUGUUUAUUAUAAUUCCGAAUUUAAUAAAACACCAAAAGUAUUUUAGAAUAAAUUGAAUUUUCUCCUAUAGGAUAUCUUGCAUGUUUAUAUUAGAGUAGUUAAUUAAUUUCGAAUUUUAAUAAAAAUACAAAAAUAUCAUGUGCAUGUCAUAUAUAAUUAGGUUCACAAAAAUGCAUGUCAUUUAGUAAUUGUUGCUAGGUCCAUUUAAUUAGAAAUUUUCCAUUAUUAGAAUUAGGCCAUUUGGUUAAAUUGCAUUGCACGUAGAUUAGAUUUCAUUAAACAAGAGAAAAUCCUAAAAAAGUCUGAGUGACUGCGUAUUAAUUAUGAAUCAUAUCUAGGGCUUUUGAUAUGAAUUUUGAGCUAACAUUGUAGUGUUUUCGUUGUUACAAGGUAAGUCCCGUAAUUUAUUUGUUGCUUUCUUGGGUGUUAAAUUGGUGGUUUGCACACUCACAUGAUCACCUCAUAUGUUAGGGAAGUAAAUUAAACUUAAUAAGCUGCCUGCAAGACUUUUUUCGGAAAAAGAGAAAGGUACCGAAAGGGCAUUAGAGAAAUUUAGCAUAAUCAAGUUCUCGAACUAAAAAUCUCUGGUUUGCAGAAGUAAAGUAAAUCUCACAUUACUUUACUUAGGUUUCUAAUCGGCCCACCAAAAAUAGAUUAGUAGCAACUCUUAAUCGAAAAAUCAUUUGCAUGUUAAUAACUCAAAUCUAAGUCGUGAAUUGGUAUGAGCUUAGGAAAGCUCGAGCUAAGUUUAGGCUUAGGGCUUGUUUGAUAACCAUCCAAACAGUGCCAGAUUCUAUCUUUUGUUCCCGGUAGUAGUUUUGGAAUAAAAUCGUGUUUGAUAAAUUUUUUAUUCCCGGGAACAGAUUUGGAGUAGAAUCAACAAUAAAACAAAGGGAUAAUUGCUAUAGAAGUCCUAAAACUUGUUAUGAAAAUGCAAUUGAGUCCUAAAACUUGCAAAAAUUGUAAUCAAGUCCUAAAACUUGUUAAUUUUUUUUCAAUCGAAUCCUAAAGUUAACACCGUCGACUUUUUUAAUGGAAAAUGCUGACGUGGCAUUUAAAAUUAAUUUUUAUUUUCUAUGUGGCUUUUUAAAUUUUUUUAUUUAAAUUAGAUUUAAAAAUUAGAAAAGAAAAGUUAAAAUUUAUUUUUUAAAAAGUUUAAAAAAAAAAAAAUGGCAGACUGCCCAUCACCGAAGUGGCCGAGGGUGGCUGGCCCUCACUAGCCUAGGCACUCUCACCCGAGCUUGGCGAGGGUCACCGGCCCUUGCCUAGGGCUAGGCGAGGGCCGGCCACCCCCGCCCAGGGCGGCAGCAGGCGGCGGCGACGAGGGAGGAGCUGCCUUUUUUUGUUUAAUAAUUUUUAAAAAUACAUUUUAACUUUUCUUUUUUAGUUUUUAAAUCUAUUUUUUUAAAUUGAAUAAAAAUAAUAAUAAAAAGUCAUGUGGAAAAUGAAUUUUUUUUUAAAUUCCACAUCCGCACCACGUGAGCAUUUUCCAUUCGCAAGUUUGACGGUAUUAACUUUAGGACUCAAUUGAAACAAUUUAACAAGUUUUAGAACUUGAUUGCACUUUUUGCAAGUUUUAAGACUCAAUUGUAUUUUCGUGACAAAUUUAAGACUUCUAUAGCAUUUAUCCCUAAAAAAAAGUUGAUUUUUUGUUCCCGGGAACAAUUCUAAAAUCAAGUCUACCUAAUUUUUUUUCUUUUUCCUCCUCUUUCUUUUGUUUGUGUUCCCUUUAUGUUGUUCUUCAAGUGUUGCUGCCACCACCAUUGCUAUCCCCCGCCGCCGCCGCCCCCCAUUGAACGCCAUCGUUGGCCGCCGGAGGCUCACCUAGCCAUGAUUGAUCUAUACUGGUCACUCAAUUUGAACCCAACCAUGAUCGAUCUCUAGGGACUCGCUACUGAAAUUAUACGGACGAUGAAAUCAACUUUGCUUGAGCUUAGUGUGAAGAGAACGGCAUGGGAGCGCACUAUUUAUAGGUCCGAGAGGAGGUAGCCCACGUUGAAUCGGAGUAUUUUCUAUUGGUUCCAAAGCCCCAAAGAUAUCUUUCUUCGUUGUGAUUAAGAGGAAAAUUAAUAAUUCUCUCUAUAAUAACUAAUAAGGUAUGUUCUAAGGUGCGAAGUGGGAGAGAAGAGUUGAUUGGGACAGGGCGUGAUUCUAAAAGCGGGGCUAUGGAUAAUACAUGAUGGUUAGAGUGUGGUGUAGUGAAUGGAAAACUUGUGGGCAUGCGAUUCGUGUUGCAUCUCAUCGUCUUAUACUGAUUAUUUCCCCGUGCCACAAUGGCAACUUCGUGUCACCCACACUAAAUGUUAACCUCGCUGAUGUACCUUAAUAAUCGAACCGAAGGGCUUGACAAACAAGGUGAAUGCACUCAUCAACCCCUCUUGCAUCGACGAAUUAGCUUGCUAAGACAGAUCAGCCGAUUCCUAAGGCUGUAAAAGAGUAAAGGGCUAUCGUAUAACCUUACAAAGAAUUUAAUUCAAUGCUGAAGUUGGAUGAGAACUAAAAGGUCUCAAUUCAAGUUACGAUUAACUGGCCACUUAGUCAUGUGUUUUCAAGGAUAAUCUCUUAUGCCUUUUGAUGGUGCUGUGAUUAAUUAUACCGAGUCAAUCAAUGUAUCCAACCACAAAUAUUCGAACUAAAGGUCUCGGCUAUCCUCCUUAUGGCACGUUCUGUGGUGCAUAACCUCUUAUCUAUCCCAUAGGUGGUGGUGGCGGUGGCUAUGGCUGUCCUCUUGGCCUGUUAGGACAAUCUCUGGCCCUAUGGCCCUGCUGACCACAUUCAAAGCAACAACCCGUUCUUCAAGGGCAUUGAUUCACAGGAUGUCAUCUUCCACAAAGACGACACAUCUCGGUCCUAUUUGGCACUGGCUUGCCAACUCCACCUCUCCUAUUUGGUGGGAUCUGAAAUCUACCUUCAAGCAUUGGCCUCUUUCCCUGACGAAUUCCUUCUCGAUGCUAAGUAAACCUCGAUCCAGACGAGGUGACCCAUUCAUUCAGACUCCUUUCAAGCAGUUGUGCCCAACGAUAGAUCUCUUGGUAAUCAAUCAGAUCAAACGGCACUAGUGGUUGCUUCAACUCUUGUCGAAGGCCAUUCUCGAACCUUCGAGCUUUCUCCUUAGAGUCUUCAAUCAGCCUUGAAGCAUACUGAGAAAGCUCUUGACCCCAUAUUGUUCAACCAUCAUUGACCCCUGACGGAGUCACAGAAAUUCUUCUAUUUUCUGCUCUCUUGCGUUCCUCGCAAAGUAUUGUUCAUUAAACAACCUAAGGAAUGCAUCCCAUAGCGGAACAACUCCAUAAGGAAACAUUGUCUCUCUAGCGGCUCUCCACUAGGAGUUGACAUUGCCCUGCAAUUGAUAUACUGCCAGGGUUACCUUUUCCGCCUCUAUGCACAUCAAGAGUGCAAAGGAUUUCUCUAGAUCCUGGAUCCAAACUGAACCGGCCUCGGGGUCUCUCGUACUCGAAAAUCUUGGCAGGCUCAGUUUAAAAAACGGUUCUACCAGCUUGUGGAUCGGUCUUUCUCUACCUAAAACUACGUUCCCAACUGGAACAUCGGCUGGUGCAGCGGCAGGUGCGGCAAUAGGUGCAGCGGCAAGUGUGGCCUUAACAGCGAUGGCAACAGUAGUAGUAGCGGCGGCUUAAGCGGCGGCUUCAACAGUGAUGGCUUGAUUCUGAGCCUGCUGAUCCAUCCUAUUCCCCAUGACUUCUAGCACCUGCAUGAUCCCUUUGAUUCUAGGAUCACUCAAGGUUGCUACCUAAGCUUUGACUGGAAGUGGUGUUACACCACUGGCACUGGCCUAUCCCGGUGCCCUAGCUCUGCCUCCUCAAGUAUCAACUUUGGUCAGCGAUCUAACCUGAGCUAAAGGCCUAACAGUUCUCUUACUUGGAGUCCUCUGCUCUGGCUCGCUCAUGGUUCAGUCUAUUCUACUAAAACUUGUCUUCCAAAUCCAAACUAGAUUAGAAGAUGAGCGACACACACACGGCAACCAAUUUUACCAAUCAUCUACCAUUGACAUACACCAGACAUGAAUUUAAAUAUCUUUCCUACCACUAUCCCAUAGUCCAUCGCACCUUAUCACUCCAAUCCCUAACGAACUUGGCUUUGAUACCACUUAAGCGGGGAUGUCACGCCCCGAUCCUCGAGUGCACGCCCAUCCCUCACUUGGUCAAUUAAUAGCGACGUCCCAGGAUGAUCAUCGACCCAUUCAUUUAAUAUACACAUACGUAAGCAUAUAAAAUAAUUCCCAAACAUUAAAACAAUGGGAUAGGAAAGUAGAACUAAAAACUCGAACCUGAAAAUCAACACACUUAUAUACAUAUACAACAAUUCAGUCAUAUAUAUACAUAUACAAGCCACACUAAAAGUUGGUUUCUACUCAAACAAGUUCAGCAACAACAAGUCAUCAGCAGGAGUGGGGGUCUCAAUCUUCAUAUGGAUCAUACUCCGAAUCAUCCUCGGGAUCCUCCUCUGACUCCUCCAGUUCCUCUUCAAGGUCCUCCUCUACAGGUUCCUCUUCGGGCUCCUCCUCCAGGUUCUCCUCAGGGUACUCCUCCUCUACGACCUCUCCUUCCUCCAUGCUUUAGUUGGAGUCUACUGCGGAUGGCUCGGGAGAGUCGGGGUCAUCACCUAGCUUAGGAUCUUUUGCAUCCACCACCAACCCAUCCUUAAGAUCAACCGUCCCCUCCCCAAAUGCUACCUCGAAAAUGAAUAUAGGCACAUCACUUUCCAGUACUAGACCCUCUCUUCACCCAUCAUGGUAGUGACGAUACCACAACCUAUACUCAUGGGGCCUUAAGACAUCUCUACCCACAUCCACCCAAACGGUGGAUUUCACUAACACAUACUCUAGACCUUCCGAGUGAGGGUGUAUCGGGAAGUGGUAUGCUAUCUUGGUGAUCUCUUCGAGUAUACCAAAAUGCAUGGGAGGACGAGUUGGUGAAGGUGCUACCAUCUAGGGACCUGAAAUGUUAUCCCACAAGGGGGUGAGACUACAUCUCAGCAAGUUCUACCCCACUAAGACUCAAUUAGUAAGCCAAUACGCCCUAAAUGCUGCCUAAUCACAACACGAGCCGAAGGAUUUACCUUAGCCUCAGUUCCACCCUACAAGUCAAUUAAUCAAUAAAUACUGGAAACCACAUUAUCCAAUCAAUUCAAAAAUUCGGAUCAAAUCAUUGAUCAAUCGACAUAGUCAAUUAUAUGUCGUUUUGACCAUUUCUUGGUCGGCUCAUCUAAUACUAUCUAUAAAGUCCACUCAUAUUAUGACUGCUCACUGCUAAGCUGAUAAAUAGAUAGUAUAGCUCGCUUCUAAGAUAAUCAAGUAUACUGUUCUCUACUAAGCUGCCGUAUCAAAGCUCGAAGGUUUAUAUAGUAUACCAACGAUACUUAAUCUAAGCUGAUAAAUAGUAUACUGCUUUCUCCUAAGCUACCAUAUCAAAGCCUGUAAGUUGAUAUAGUAUACUAACAUUGCGAUAAAGUAUACUAUUCUCUACUAAGCUGACAUAUCGCCUGUAGGCUGAUCUAGUAUACCAGUAUACUACUCUCUGCUAAACUGACAUAUCGCUCGUAGGUCGAUAUAGUAUACCCUCACAAUCAUACACCUAAUUCCAUCUUUUUAUCACUUUUGAUAAAAUAGCCGUGUGUGGGUACACGGUCGGCCUUAGGCAAAAUAUCAUAUUUCACUUUUGAACUUCCCACCAGUUUCAUCAGUCCCAAAAUAGAUUUUUGGCACCAUAGACCCACGCCCAGUAAUUUUCCAAACAAUUACCAAAAUUUAGGAAAAUAAUCCUAAAACCACAAUUAAUUCAAUUCAACACAUUUUAACACUCAACUAAAUAAAUAGAUCACAUCAUCACGAUCAGUAUAAAAUUCUAGUCGUCGGCUAUCCCAGCCUAAUUUCCGGAAAAUAAAUAAUUAAUUAAAUAAUUUCAGAAAAUAUUAAAUAAAUGCAAUAAAUCCAAUUUAUACCCGUAAUGCCUAAUUGAACACCGAAACGGAUUUGGAAAUUUUUUUAGAUUCGUUCAAUAAAUAAUAAUGCGAGUUUACUUGCUAAUAUCACUAAUCAUUUGCCUAACAUGCAUUGAUAAGUCACUAAUCUAAUGGCUCUACUCUAAUUUAUCCACCUAAUCACACUUAAUUAAAUCUAAACAAUCCAUAAGCAUAAUUAACCGACUAAGCGAGGAUUAGUGAGAUAAAUUUACCCGUUUAACGAACCGCUCGGUUUAAAACAAAGGGAUCGACGCAAGGCUUGACUUUCCUCAAGGCGGGCCUAGCAACCGAGACUCAGGACCACCUCAAAAUGAGCCUAAAAGCCUGUUGGAAACCCAGAAAUUCCUUCUCUGUUUUGAGCUGCAAAACAGGGAAAACAAAGCUGAACAAAGCAAGCAAGACUGGCGAAGGCGACGACAAGGCCCAGCGAAUGUGCGCGACACUUGCGCGACCGGAGGGGCGGCUUUCCGGCAACGAUGGCUGUGUGUGGCUUGCUCUAGCAGUUGUUGCUCCUUCUCUACUUGCUGCUGGCCAAAAAACAGGAUGGAGGGAGAGAGAGGCUUGGUUGGUUGCUUGGUGAGGAAGAGAGGAGCAAGAGGGGGGGCCACCAUGGCCAAAUUUUUCACAUGCUUGUCUCCCUUGACCAUUCUCAGCCAAGUGUGGUUCCUUGACUACCAUUCCUCCACCCAUGCACUCCUCACAACCCUUGAAGUAGUCCAUUUUGGCUAGGCAUGGAGGGAGUUACGAAUUUGCAAGGGAAUGGCUUCAAUUAAACACUUGUUCCUUCUCAAAUCAAUCCAAUUUGGCCUCAAUAAAUUCAAUUAGUAUUUCAAUUAUCAAAUAGGUAUUUUUCCUCACCAAUUGAUCUAUCUAGCAUCCCCAUUGUGCGAUCAAGAAUAAUCCUAGCCUUUUUUUGAACAAAAACAGUCAUACGCCGACUUUUUCACAAAAAGUCUUGGGUCGCAGAAAAAUCUUCUGAGACUAAGUCGACGUUCCUAGAAUUUACUAUGACAUAACAGAAUCUUCAAUUUCUGAAAUUGAACUUAAAUUCGCAAUUAAUUUCCUUUUAGCUCGUUUUUAGUGUGACAUGGGCUAUCGAGUAGUUUUUAGGGAUUUUUAGUGCAAAUGACCCAUGGUCGAUUUUCUUCGAGGCACAAUGAACCCACUCGACACAUUGGCGACUCUCGGUUGUCAUGAAAAUCUCAAUGAUUCAAAUACGGACAUAGUGUAUCAAAACAACAGAAUAAUUAGUCUAGGACCGGCCGACGAGAAUUUUCCAAUUUAGUAGUGUCGCCCACAAUUAGCCACACAUUUCAAUCGAACUGACCUAUCUCUGAUCUAAAAUUGAUUUUUAACUGUACUGUAAUGGCCUCUAAAGAUAAGCAUGGUCGAGUAGCCGAUUCUUGGUCGAAUUCUCAAGUCUAUUGUAUUAAAAUUCCUUAAUGGUUUCCUUGAAUAGUCUAGUUAUCUCGAGAGUGAUUAACUCUGAGAACAGCCCUAUAGGCGCAUCCAUGAAAAACCCGAUUUAUUCAGUAGAAAAUAGGACUGCAAAUCUGGGAUGUCACACGGCCUCCACCGUGACUCGGCAUCCGUUGACGUGGGGCAUUCGAACUUAAUCAGCCAUCGCCUCCCCAACUCUCGUUGGGUGACAGGUUCUGAUAGUGACCAUGUAAACACAUAUUUAGCCAAGAACACCAUGCUUUGCGUCUAAAUACCUCGUUUCCAAAUAAUGAACUUGGCCACUUUUUCUUCAUAUAAAAAAUCCCGGUAAAUAAUCGUGCGUGGUCACGUAUUUAAAAGCGAACCAUCAAACCUAGUGCGCUCCUAUUUUAAAACUUCACAGUUUGAUAUAGUACAUAAAAAUUGCGUCCGAAACCGACACCUAGCAUUUUUCUAUUUAAAUGCCCAUAAAAUCAAGUUUUGUAGUAAAACUCACAACUACCAUCAAGCAAUCAAUGGCACCCCAUAGCAUAUAUAAGUCACCCAAUUCACGCAUAAAUUCAUUCAAGAGAUGAAACGGCUAAUUCGUCACGAAUUACACUAAUUACGAUUAAUUAAAUAAAUCACGAUUAAUUAAGUUAAUCCAACUUAAUUAACUUAACCAUGACUAAUUAAUCUAACCAUGGUUAACUAACUAACCAAGGUUAACUAACAUAACCAAGCUAGUUAGCCUAAUUAAACUAACAACCUAACCAAACUAGUUACCACUAACCUAGGAUUAACUAAACUAAUCGUAAUUAACAAUCUAAUCAAGGAUUAGGGAGUAAACUCACAGGAUUAAGACGGUGGUGGGCUCACGGCGAUGGUGAUGAUGGCGACAAGGGGAAGCUCGUGGCCAAAGGGUGGGGACUUGGCUGCUGGGGUUGCUGGUAGAUCUCACCCUAUUGGUGCGAUUGUGGUGGCUGCUCAAUGAAGGAGUUGUCGGAUUGGAAGGGCGGCGCUAUUGGAUACGGGGAAGGGUGGUGAGGUUGCUUGCUGUGGUGGACAGUGGCUCGGUGGAGAUGUGCUGGACAAUGGUGACUGGGCUAUUGGAUGAGCGGGCUGGUGGGCUAGUGUUUCGGUGGUGCUGAGGUUGUGGGCAUGAGAUGAAUGGGGAUGAGGGCGUGAUGGUGGGCUGCGGUGGAUGUUGGGUUCAUGAGAGUUGGAGUGAUGAAGGUGGGUGUGAAAUGGUGGGGGACACGGCAACAAGGAGAUGGGAAAAACAUAGCCAGAUGGAAGAGAAGGAAACGUGAGGGAAAGAAAAUGGGAAGGAGGAAGCAUAAGGGGGAGUCGGCUGAACGGGGGUGAAUGCAUGAAGAGAUAGAGAGGAAAGAGUGGGAAAGAGAAGAGAGAACAAAGAAGUCAAUUGAGUGAUCAAUGAGAGCUUAGGGAAAAAUAUCAAGUCCAUCAUCACAUUUUACCCCAAAGUCUUCAUGCCCAAAAGUCCAUGGCUCAACCAAUGCCCAUUUUUCUUCUUAUUUCUCACAAAUAAACCAUUUUAGGGGUAGAAAAAAUUAAAUUCUUCGGCCCAUCCGAAUUUUCAUUUCUUUUUCUUUUGUUCGAAAAUCGUUUUUCCACAAAAUUUUCGAACUCGGCGAAAAUUCACUGAAAGAUGAGACAGGAUCCUAAAAAUAAAUUGUGACAUGCUUGAACAUCCAAUUCCUGAAAACUGAAUUCAAUUUCAUGGUUAAAAUCAACCGAACGCGAUUUUAGUACGAUAUAGCCUAUCAGUUCGCUUUUAGGGAUUUUAUUGCGUUUAACUCGUGCAUGAUAAUUUUCGAUUCAUAUUUGUGCAUCUCCAAAUCGUAAACAACCAUCGGUUGUCAUAAAAUCGUGAGGUUUAAAUUACGUGUCUCGAGUAUAAUAUCAAUAGAAAAUAGGGUUAUUGCCAUUCAACACGAAUAUCGCAAUCGUGCGGAAUCGCCUGCAAUUCAACUAUGCAAUUCCAUUGAAUUGAGUCCAUCGAAUUGAGUUAUAUCCAUUCGCUAAUCAAUUAUAACGGUGUUGUAUUGACCAUUGCCAAUUAUUAUGGUCGAGCGGUCGAUUUUUGAUCGAAUUCUUUAGUUUGCCGCGUUUAUAUCCCUUAAUAGCCUCACCUAAUAGAUUAGUUAACUCAUGAGUGGCCAGCUCCCAGUAAAAUGACCAUAAGCGCGUAGACGAAACAACCAUUCCAUAUAUCCGAAUCAGGGGUCAAAUUUCGGGAUGUUACUGUAUUGUUUGGUUUUUGCAAUUAAAAUCCACUAUAUAUCCCUUUUAGGUGAUACUAUAUAGAGCAGGGCAACCCCAACCAUUACCAUAGGACAUGAGGACCCACUGUGUAUUUGAAAGCAUGUUGAGAGGCGGUUGUUGCGAUCCUCUCAGAUUGGUCCAAGGAAGAUGGGUCCAAAGCUAUUUUCUAAUUAUUUUUGAGUUAAGGAACAAUGGUCCUCAAUCAAUACAGGUGUUGACACCUAAAUUUUGGCAACCCAAUUUGUUUUUAUCGCAUUAAAAAUUAGGGAUUAAUUUUUAACCCCUAAACAAAAAUAUAAUAUUAAAUUGCAUAGUAUACAAUUUUAAGAGCAUUUUUUUUAUUAUUAUUACAUUUGCAUUGGACCUUCGAUAGAUGAGUUUGAAUUGGUGGUUCUGAGCUUUAAUUUAGCGAGUUGAACUAAGCCCGCGGUAAUGAAAAUUAGGCUGAACUUGUCGCUCAUAUAAGCCCAUCAUUUCUUAAACGAGACCGAAAUUGACAUAUGCUUUACACGUGUGAAAUUUUAAGUUGGGAAAUAUAAAGAGCAAUAUCAUAAUCUUGAGAAUUCAGUCACGAAAGAGCAACAUCCCCGGUAUAAUAUAUUUGGCCAAGUGCAACUUGCAAUGAAUAAAAUAUACGUUCACGUGGUUGAAUGAAAGAAGGAAAGAAAUAAAGGGAUAAUAUUCAUUAAAGAAAAGAAAUUAAGGCAUAGGUUAUUGUGAACACUCACAUAUGGAAAAUAGAAGAUUGUGUCCCUUCCUUGAAACCUAAUUUUCGUGCUUAUAUAAAGGGAUGCAUAUUCAUAGUUAGGGAGGCCACAAAUGGAUAGAGAACGACAAGGUUUACAGAGAAAGAGAGAGGUCUCUCUUCCGAAUCUCCCUCUUAGCCGAGACCCUCUUGUCGGUGCCUCUUCAUAUUGGUCGAUCGCCACCACUCCUUCCAUGAUGAUGUGAGGCUACUGUCUCUAGCCAAGAUGUCAUGCCAACCAACGACGAAGCGGCUGCCACCACCUACACAAGAAACUUCUGCAUGACCAAGAUUGAUCCCACAAAGUUCUGGUGUUUGUUUUGCCUUGCAGGUUUCUGGGUAAGUUCCGACAAUAAUCCUACAAUUUUAUUUGUCUCCACUGCAGCAACACAUCAGUCUUCGAUGACCUUCGCAGCCUUCAAGCAAGACCCCACAUGUGACAUCCUAAAAUUUCGACCUCGUCUUGAUAAAAUGAAAAAGGCUUUUUAUCAACGCGCCUAUGGUCCUUUUUCUCUGAACUGAUUACUCACAAGUUAACUAACCUUUCAGGUGAAGCCGUUAAGGGAUAUAAGCGCACUAAAAUCCCCUAAAAGCUACCCGGUGGGUUAGAUUGGACUAAAAUCGCGUCUGGUUAAUUUUAACAACAAAAUUGAAUUUGGUUUCAAGAAUCGAUCGUUCGAGCGUGUCACGAUUCAUUUUUAGGAUCUCAUCUCAUCUUUUUGGAAAAUUCCGUCAAGCCGGGAAUUUUGCUGAAAAAUUCAAAAAGAAAUAGGAGGAAAUUCAGAGGGGCACCUUCAGUUGGAGUCACCAAAUUGACUUGUCAUGUGAAGAGUUGAAAGGGAAUUUGUGUGGGCUACUGCCAUGGACCUUUUGGCCAUCUAAAUGAAUUGUUUUGGUGAGAAUUGAAGGAAAAUAAGUGGAAAAUUCAUAGGGGUGGCUGCCAUGUAAAUUUUGGACACCAAAAGCUUUAUUUUUAUGGGGAUUUGAAGUGAAAAUAGCCAUUGGAGGAUGGCUUGACUUCUUGGCUGAAGACUUUGGGGGCAUAUUCAUCAUUAUUUGGAUAUUUGUCAAGGCUUCUUAGUGGUUGUAGCAUGGACUUUCAGCCCUCUCUCUCUCUCUCUCUCCUCCAAGUUUCCCCUCUUCCAUGAGUGCACAUCCUUCAGCCGAAACCCUUCCCGCCCUUGCUUUUUCCUCAUUCUCUCCUUCUUCUUCACCAGCGUCCAGCCCAUCUCACGUCCUCCCUCUCUCACGUCAACCAGCCCCUUUCACUAUUCCUUUUUAUUUUUCUUUGCUACCCCCACUCUCCAUUCAUGCCAGCAACAUCAGAACUCCACCAAGCUACCACCUUGCACCGGCCACAAACAGAACAGUCCACCCUUUACAUCCAUAACUCCUCCCAAUGGCCAAGACAGUCGCAUUUUCUCGCCACCAGUCCAUCCGUCAGUCCAACUUCGGCCAGCACCUGAACCGCCUGCAUCUGCUUUCAUCAGCUUGCCCCUAGUCGUAUCCAGCUCGCCUUAGCCAAGCUAAACUAGCUUCCUGCACAAAACUGAGUAGAGCAGAAUUGCAGCCAAGCCGUGAGGCUUGCGAGGCUAUUUUCAGCGUCAUCCGAGCAGUUGCAGCGAGGAGCUCCGGUGUCCCUGCAGCGCCCCACCGUUCGAAGCCUGCGACCCGACGACCCACGGUCCGCGAUCCGCGCUCCAGCUCCAUCACCCCUCCUUUGCUCGCAAAGUUGCCGUCGCUGCCAAGCCGAGAUCCAGACAUUGGAGCUCCUCGCUGCGUAGCUUCCCCCACGACGCCCCCUUGCCAGAGUCCUCUGCCAGUGCCUUGUCUCGCCCAAGAUCCUCGCUAGAGAUUCCCCCAAAACCAGUGGCCAAGAUUUCUUUUUUUUUUCUUUUUAAAAGAAAAAAAUUAAAUUAGGUAUUUUUGCUUUACUUUAUUAGGCAAGUUUAGGUUUUUUUUAUUUAUUUCUUAUUAUUAUAUCUUUAUACUUUGUUUUCUUCAUUUGAAAUACUUCUUUAUGCAUAAUUGGAAAUCCCAAUAUAUCACAUGAUUCGCAACCGCGCUAGGGUUUUUUUAUUUCAUCUAUAAGGCUUUAGAUGAAAUAAUUAAUCAAGUGGGAAUAAAAUUGAUAUUUUGAUCUUUAAGGCUUAAGAUCAAUUUAUCGAUUUUAUAAGGAAAAAUUACCCCUUCAUCUAAACGAUGUGUGAUAUUUUUGAUGAUUUUGAAUGAUCUGUCUUGUCUUGAUUGCUUUAUUUAUUUUGAAAUGUGGUUGAGUUAGAAUAUUGCAUGCUUUAAGGUUAUUUUCAUAUUUAGAUUAAGCAUUUUAUUUAUCAUGGAUUAUCGAAAUAAAUAAAUAAAACAUAAAUUUAGGAUGUUAGAUUUUUGUUUCAUUAGCUUAAAUUGCAUGUCUAAUUAUUUGACAUUUUUUAUUUUCGAAAUUAAUUAAAACCAAAAAAAAACAAAAAUCAUCAUGCAUAUGUCAUGUAAAAUUAGGGCAUCCUUUGUACGUCAUUGCACAUUAAGAUAAAAUUACAUAUUUCAUUUUAAGUUUAGAUUGAUUUAGAUAUAUUGCAUCUUAGGUUAGAGAUUGCUAAGUUAAGAUAAUAUCUUGGUUUAAAUUAGGGCUUAACUUGACCUAAUCCUUAAUAUAAGUUGGAUAGAAUCUUAAUUUAGCUAGAUAAUUUUCAUAUUUUUCUAAUUUCGAAUUUCAUAAAAAAAUACAUUUUUUUUUUUUUAGGAUAAGUUAAUUCCACUUUCUAGGAUAAAUUGCACAUUUAUUAAGAAAAUACAAAAAAUGUCGUUGCAUGUCAUAUAAAAUUAGAUUCAUGAAAUGCAUGCCAUCUAGUAAUUGUGAUUAGGUCCAUUUAGCUAGAAAUUGUCUGUCAUUAGGUCAGAUUGCAUGCAUUGCAUGAAGCCUAAUUCUCAUUGAUUAAGCAAAAAAAAAAUGCGUGUUAAUUAAAAAUCAUAUCUAUGACUGUUUAUGAGAAUUAUGAUCUAACAUUGCAGAUGCUUUUGUUCCUUUGAGGUAAGUUUUGCAAUUUAUUUAUUGCUUUACUUGGGUGUUAAAUUGGUGGUUUGCACACUCGUAUGAUCACCUCACAUGUUAGGGAAAUAGAUUUAAAAUCAACCCAAACUGUCUACAAAUUUUUUUUUAAAUAAAAAGAAAUUAUACCAAAAGGGCAUUAGAGAAGUCUAGUGUAACCAAGUCCCCAUACCCAAAGUCUCUGGUUCGUAGGAGUAAAAUAAUGCUCCAAUUAUUUUACUUAUGUGUCUAAUCGACCUACCGUAAACUGAUUAGUGGUGACUCCUAGAUAAAAUCCAUUUGUAUGUUAAGAAAUUUGAACUUAAGUCGGGAAUUGGUAUGAGCUGGGGAGAGCACAAGUUAAGUCUAGGCUUAACAAUCCAUUAACCAAACUUUAGGUGGUGCACUUGAAAAUUUAGUCUCGACAGCUUGGCAACUCCACUGGGGACUUAAGUUAAAACUCUUAGUGGACUUAGACCAAUUUUCUUUUCGAAAAAAUAUUUUUGUUUGGUAGCAAGGAUCACAGGUACGUCCCUAACAUUUUAGGUGUUAAAUGUUCUCGCAGGAUGGGAGGUAUAAAGGGAAGUGUUUGCUAACCUUUGUUUUGUCGGGAGGUGUAGGAAUGUAUGGUUUACUUUCAUAUAUGAAGUGCUGCUUGAUAUAAACUGUUGUGCAUGAUUUGCAUUUUGCACUACACUUUUGUACACACAACCUAUCGCUAGACCUAGGCCGCACUAGGAUACAUAGGAUGGCAUUAAGUUGGAUAUGACUUCGACCGCGAGACCGCGUAGUAGAGGUUGCCCGACUCAAUCCCGAAAUAUUUUUCUUGGUGUCGGGAAUGUUUACCUCUACCCGCGAGACUGCGUCGCAUUGGGGUAUCAUUCUUAAGUAAGCCGAAGUUAAGAGGAUUAGACUUAGUAUGCGAGGCUGUAACUAGUCAUCCCACCCUGCUAACUUCACCUUGCUAAGCUUGUCUAGAGUAUAAAUCGAACCCCACAUUUUAUGUGUUUGUCUAUGUGGUUGUUGUCGAUUUUUCUUGGUGAAGUAAGUCUUCUAUCCUUAUACCAUGCAGUUUAUUUUGUCGUGCUUUUAGUUUGUCCAUGACAAUUUAGGUCAAGCAUUGAUUUUACUCCUUUGUCAAUUAGAGAUGAAAUGAGGAAAUUGUCAUGUAAUGAAUCAUUUUGAAAAAAAAAAAUGGAGAAUUUGUUUUCAAUUCAUGUUUAGGAAAUUUAAUCUUGCUAUGGUGUAUAUUAUUUAGCCUUUUUUUAGGAAAUUUCAUUAUUGUACGAACUUUUCAUGAUUAAAUGAACAAAAAAUCAAUUAGAUUAUUGUCAUGGAUUGACUUUCUCUUUACACCUCAUGCUUACAUGUUCCCGUUCAUUUGAAUUAGGUGAUUAUGGAGCGAUCCUGCUCACCCAUCCGUUCACAAUUGAGAGCUAAAAUGACGGAUCAAAAAGAGCUUAUCUCGUCAAGCAAAAGUGCCGCGAUCUAUCUUCACUGAAAAAUUGCAACUAGAAGAAAGCCAAGAGACUUUUGAGCCAUGUCAAGCACACAUGAUUCGUGAUCAUUAUUUUCUUGGCCUAGUAAGAAAGCACAUGCAAAAGGCACAUCGGGUUGUGAUAAUAGAUCAAUUGGCCCAACUAUUACUCAACAAGUUUGAGAACACAUUUUUUAAAGACUUAAUCAAAUGAGGGGCAAGUAAAAGAGGACCAUCAUUCUCUGGCGGAAGAGGUAUGUCUCGUCUUUGAACAUAAUUAAUUUUGGGAAAUCUCACUCUAUUCUUUUUCUUGCAAACGACAAAUUGGGGGCAUGACAGAUUUUGGGGCAAAAGCAAGAAUGGAGUAUUCAUCAAAUCAAAGAUCGGAUUUUCAGCCUUGAUUGAUAGAGACAAUCCAAGGACAUCCAUUGUUGAGGCAAUCCUUUUGUGGAACAAUCCCCUGAAUGAAAGCUUAAAAUCAUGUUUGAGUGCAAUAAAUUGUCGAACUCUUUUCAAAAGAGAAUUUCAAUAGUGAUUUUGCCUAUUUAACUCACCAAUUUCAUGUGGAGAUUUGUCAAGAUGGACAAUUCAUUGGAGUAAUAUCAAAUGCUUAAGAAUGUUGAAUGAGACGUGUCAGGAUGAUGAAAGGCAAGCCUUAUCCUAUACACAGUCCCGUACUUAUACACUUGUGAGAUGAGUGUAGGAAAUUUCAUAUCCACAAGAUAAAGAGUUCUCUCGCAAAAAGGUACGAUGAUCGAAAUGAUAAGAGGCAAUUCAUUUCUCUAUCCCAAACACUACAUAUGAUCCGUUGCUUAACUUCUUUAAGCCCCAUAGAAUCACCCCACAUCAGGGCAACUGCGAGAUAAAAUGGCAUCAUGAGGUGAGGAAAAUGAAAAGAAAUUUUCUUUCUUUCACUUGCAUCAAUCUUCAAGUCAUGCUAUCACAUUGAAUUUAUGUGGUAAUUUAAGUGCCUUAGGAUGACGAAAAGCAUUUUUUUUUCUCUAUCCUACAUACUUAUAUCUUUUGCAUAGCCCGCUUGAGCUUACAAUUUCAUUUCUUUUAAACCUAGUUGGUGAUCAUCCCCCACACUAGGGCAAGCCAAAAGACAGAUGAAGACCCUCGAAAGUUCGAGUGUCAUUCAAAGUGUAAUUCCUUGACGCAUGCAUUGUGCGCAAGAAUUGAAAUCAAAAUAGAACUAAGGGGCAUGAAAAAGCAGUGUGCGUGGUAAAAGCAAGGCCAAUGCGCAUGAAAAAGAAGUGAAGAAAAAAUACAUGAAAACUAGGGGCAUGAAAAAACGGUGUGCCUGGUAAAAGUAAGGCUGAUGCCCAUAGAUGAAAAUGAAAAAAGAAAAAAGUCAAGAGAUGUGACUAUCAAUCAUAUAAGGUUACGCCCCUCAUGGAGCAGCAUUCAAAGAACACAAAUACCGAGCUUUUACAGUUAGUGGAGCACCUUGCCAAGACGAUCCCUGGUGAAAAAGAAAAUUGGUGGCAAUGCUAAGAUGAUCAUCAACUCUCACCCUUUACACACAUUUUGAGCCUCAUGAUCCUUUCAUUUCUCAACCCAUGAACUCAGCCUAUGUUACGUCCCGUACAAAGUCUCUUCAGAUUAGGGCACUUGAAUUAACAUGGGAGUUCAUAUGUUCUCAUUUUGCAAGGUUCUUGACUUGUAAAUCCGGAGAAGAUUACAAAAUGUUCUUUCAAUUGCCUUGACUCAAAGAGUCCCUUUGUUAAGCCAUUGACCAAGCCCGCAUUACGGUCCCUAUUAAAGACCUCUCAGAUUGGUAGGGUCGUACUGCUUGCGACAAUACUCGGACCCUUGUUGGUAUGAUGAUAGUGAGAUUGAGUGAUUCUCAUAAAAUAGCCAUUUUAAAUGAGAGGGAGCGAAAAUCCUUUCUAAUUGAAAGUCUCUCAUUUAGUAUUCUUAGAAAAUCCAUGUCAUGAAAAUUGUCUUGAACGAUAAUUCUCUCCAAUGGAAAUUUGGGUGAUGUAAAGGUCAUCAUGCAUGAAUCCCGAUUGAAUUGAUAAAAACUUCAGUGGAUUUUGAAGUGUGCAUUCCAUAAUAGCCUUAAUUGCUUAUUUCUUUGGUGAAUGCAUUUUUGCUCUAUUCAUGUUUGACAGAUAAUGUUUUCUCAAAGACCCAAGAGCUCCUGACAUUCAGGUUCCUUUCAAAAUGCCUCAUGAUAUUAGGAGAUGAGAAACCAUCACGAAAAUUCAAGGUGCAUCCUUGAUGUUCCAAAAUUUAUUUCCACCAAGAGGUGAGAAGCCUCCACAAGAUAUCUAAGUUCCAGAAGACAUAUCCUAAAAAAUCAAAGAUAUCACCAGGUAAGUAUAUCUCUACCAAUACUCUAAAUACUUGUCAAUGUGCAGGUAUUCUCUCUCAAGUGCAUUGACACUUGACUCGGUCAAGUUGUCCAUUAUAUUAAUUUGGCGUGCUUUCGUAGCCCAGAGUUCCUUUCAUCAACCCAGCGUGCUUCUGUAACCCGGUGUCCAUUAUAUUGACUUGGCGUGCUUUCAUAACCCAAAGUCCCUUUCAUCGACCUAACGUGCUUUCGUAGCCCAGUGUCAUUUAUAUUGACCCGGUGUGCUUUUGUAGCCUAGCGUCCGUUUCAUCGACCCGGCAUGCUUCCGUAGCCCGGUGUCCUUUAUAUUGACCUGGCGUGCUUUCAUAGCCUAGUAUCCUUUUUCAUUGACUCGGCGUGCUUCCGUAACCCAAUGUCCCUUUUAAUAGACCCGGCAUGCUUUCGUAGCUCGAAGUUCCUGACCUGGCGUGCUUUUGUAGCCUAGAGUCCCUUUUAUUAAACCGAUGUGCUUUCAUAGCUCGGAGUUCUUGACCUGGUGUACUUUUGUAGCCUAGAGUCUCUUUUUAUCGACUCGGUGUACUUUCGUAAUCUGGUGUCCCUUCAUAUUGACCUGGCGUGCUUUCGUAGCCUAGAGUCCCUUUUAAUAGACUCAGUGUGCUUCCAUAGCCCGGUGUCCAUUUAUAUUGACCCGGCGUGCUUUCGUAGCCCAUGUUCCCUUUUAUCGAACCGACGUGCUUCCGUAGCCCGGUUUUCUUUUAUUGACCUGGCGUGCUUUCGUAGCCCAGAGUCCUUUAUACCGAUACUCAAUUGAGUUGUUCCCCAAAGAUUUUUCUCUAGAUUCAGGUUCAGGUUCUGGUCAGAUGAUCUUUGUUGCAAGACUGGGCGACCAAAUAAAGGUUUGGGUCCUAGCCAAGAAAAACCUCAAUUCAAGCGACUGUAGAAUGAUACGGGUUUUGGAAAAUCAUUUUUUUCGUCAAGUUAACCGUAGAAUGGUACGGGUCCUAGACAACAUUCAAGCAACUAUAGAAUUGUAUGGGUGCUAGACACAACCCAAACACUGUCAUACUGGACGACUGUAGAAUGGUACGAGUCCUGGGAAAAUAGUCUCUUUGUGAAGCCAUGUUACUAUUUUGGGCGGUUGUAGAAUGGUACAAGUCCUGGACAUAUAACACCAAUCUAUCUUGAGUUACUCUACCUUCCUCGAAGGUAAGUUAUUCUAGGUAGGUUCCUUUAUCAUUUGCAUUAGCAUUUUCAUGCAUCACAUAAAUUGCAUUUCAAAAUGGGAUUCAUUUUCCCAAAAAAAAAAAAAAGGUUCACUCAGUGCAUGUGCAUGAUCAAAAUUUAGGUUUCAAUUUGUUUUUGAAGGUAACCUCUACGAGCUUACGUUCAAAGAGGGGUAGCUGUUGACACCUAAAUUUUAGCAACCUAGUCAUUGAUUUUUUUGCAUAAAAAUUAGGAUUUAAUUUUAACCCCUAAAAAAAAAUGCAUCAGAACAGAUAAAAUGAAAAAACGGAAAAAAUGGGAAAAUUGAUUUGAUUGAUUAUGCAUGGAAGUUUGAAAUUCUGAUGAAUAUUCAGAUUUUGAUAAAUGCAGAAACAAUUAAAAAUCAGGUGAAUAAAUGGUAAAGAUUUUGAUAAAAUGGAAAGAAUAAACUAAAAUCGAGCUGAUUGUGAAAUCACGUUUCGAUUUGUGGCUUUGAUUUAAUACAAUAGAAGAUAGAAAGUCAAAAGUUGCUAUAAAAAUGGCUGUCUGAAAAUCACUAUAAAAGGAGCCACAAUUCUCGUGACUGAGGGCAAAAUAGGUGAAAUGUUGAUUUUUUAGAGUAGAAUUUCGAAAAAGGAGAGAGAGAGAGAGAGAAAACCGGGACUGUUCAUCUUCCCGAGGGUUCCCCCCCCCCCCCGACCUCGUCGGCGCCACAUCUCCUCGGUGACCCCCCUUUGAUCGCAUCGGCGGCCGAGCCGCCGACCUUUGCCAGUUGUAGUCGCCGACCGCUGCCCCCACGCCGCCGCAACCACACCACCAUCAAUCUACCUCCAACGCAUCCGCCAGCCCCCACGAGCAGCACCGUCGCCUCGUUAAUCCAUUGCCAAAGCUGUAACCCGAAGCUCGUGCCGCCCCGAUGCCCCGCCGUCGUUGCUCGCCCUCUGCAGCCCCGACGCUGCCUCCGCUCACCGCCUACUGAUCCGAGAUCUCCACAACAACUGAUCCAGAUCUGAUGCCAUCCCUGCCUCCUCAUCCCUGCUGCGACCCAACGACGUCGUUACCCCAGAUCUUCCUCAUCGGAUGCAGCACCCUAUAGCUAGAUCCAGAUGCUAGAGCUCCUCACCGCAACCACCCGAGGCCUCUUGCCGUCCCUACAUUGCCCCACCAUUCGAAGCCCACGACCGGACGACCCUCGGUCUGCGAUCCGUGCUCCAGCUCCAUCGCCCCUCCUUUGCCCACAAAGUUGCCGCCGCUGCCAAGCCGAGAUCUAGAUGCCGAAGCUCCCCGCUGCGCAGCUUCCGCUGCGACGCCCCCUUACCGGAGUCCUUCGCCGGUGCCUCAUCUCGCCGAAGACCCUCGCCGGCGAUUCCCCAAAAACCAGCAACCAAGAUUUCCUUUUUUCUUUUUGUUUUAAAAAAAAGAAAAGAAAAUUAAAUUAGGUAUUUUUGCUUUACUUUAUUAAGCAAGUUUAGGUUUUUUUUUAUUUCUUAUUAUUAUCUCUUUAUAUUUUGUUUUCUUCAUUUGAAAUACUUCUUUAUACAUAAUUGAAAAUCCCAAUAUAUCACCUGAUUCGCAACUGCGCUAGGGUUUUUUAUUUCAUCUAUAAGGCUUUAGAUGAAAUAAUUAAUCAAGUGAGAAUAAAAUUGAUAUUUUGAUCUUUAAGGCUUAAGAUCAAUUUAUCGAUUUUAUCAACAAAAUAUUACCCCUUAAUCUGAACGAUGUGUGAUAUUUUUGAUGAUUUUGAAUGAUCUGUCUUGUCUUGAUUACUUUAUUUAUUUUGAAAUGUGGUUGAGUUAGAAUAUUGCAUGCUUUAGGGUUAUUUGCAUAUUUAGAUUAAGCAUUUUAUUUAUCAUGGAUUAUCGAAUUAAAAAAAAAACAUAAAUUUAGGAUGUUAGAUUCUUGUCUAAUUAUUUGAAUUUUUUUAUUUUCGAAAUUAAUUUUAAAAAAAAAUCAUCAUGCAUAUAUCAUGUAAAAUUAAGGCAUUCUUUGUAUGUCAUUGCAUGUUAGGAUAAAAUUACAUAUUUCAUUUUAAGGUUAGAUUGAUUUAGAUAGAUUGCAUCUUAGGUUAGAGAUUGCUAAGUUAAGAUAAUAUCUUGGUUUAAAUUAGGGUUUAGCCUGACCUAGUCCUUAAUUUAGCUAGAUAAUUUUCACAUUUUCCUAAUUUCGAAUUUCAUAAAAAAAAUACAAAAAAUGUCUUAGGAUAAGUUAAUUCCAUUUUCUAUGGUAAAUUGCACAUUUAUUAAGAAAACACAAAAAUGUCAUUGCAUGUCAUAUAGAAUUAGAUUCAUGAAAUGCAUGCCAUCUAGUGAUUGUGGUUAGGUCCAUUUAGCUAGAAAUUGUCUAUCAUUAGGUCAGAUUGCAUGCAUUGCAUGAAGCCUAAUUCUCAUUGAUUAAGUGAAAAAAAAAAUUGUGUGUUAAUUAGAAAUCAUAUCUAGGAUUGUUGAUGUGAAUUCUGAUCUAAUAUUGCAAAUGCUUUCGUUACUUUGAGGUAAGUUUUGCAAUUUAUUUAUUUCUUUACUUAGGUGUUGAAUUGGUGGUUUGCGCACAUGCAUGAUCACUUCACAUAUUAGGGAAAUAGAUUUAAAAUUAACCCAAAUAGCCUACAAAUUUCUUUUUUGAAAAUAAAAACAAAUGGUACCGAAAGGGCAUUAGAGAAGUCUAGUGUAACCAAGUUCUUGUACCCAAAGUCUCUAGUUCGUAGGAGUAAAAUAAUUCUCCCAUUAUUUUACUUAGGUGUCUAAUCGACCUACCGUAAACCGAUUAAUGGCGACUCCUAGAUAAAAUCCAUUUGUAUGUUAAGAAAUUUGAACUUAAGUCACGAAUUGGUAUGGGCUUGGGAGAGCCCGAGUUAAACCUAGGCUUAACAAUCCAUUAGCCAAACUCUAGGUGGUGCACCUGAAAAUUUGGUCGUGACAAUCUCGGUUUGCAGAAAAAUCUUCGGAAGAUGAGUUGACAGUCCUAAAAUGAGUUGACACGACCAAACUUUCAAUUUUUGAAAUCGAAUUCAAAUUCGCGGUUAAUUUCAAUCUGGCGCGAUUUUAGCGUGACCUAACUUACCGAGUAACUUUUAGAAAUUUUUGGUAUAAUUGAUUCGUGGUCGAUUUAUUUUGAGUCACAAUGUACAUCUUCAAUGCAUUGACGACUUUCGAUUGUCGUGAAAAUCUCAAGGUUUCAUAUACGGACACAGGGUACCAAAACGACAGAAAAAUCGGUCUAGUGCCGAUCGACGAGAAAUUUGCAAUCUGGUGGAAUCACUUUGAUCACCUAUCUCGGUCGGAUCGACUUAUCUCUGAUCCCUGAUCGAUUUUUAACUGUGUUGUAAUGAUAUCUAUAUAUGAGCACGGUCAGGUAGUCGAUUCCUGGUCGAAUUAUCAAGUCUAUUGCAUUAAAAUCCUUUAAUGGCUUCACUAGAUAGUCUAGUUAUCUCAUAAGUGAUCAGCUUAGAAAAUAGCACUAUAGGCGCGUUGAUGAUAUGCCCGAUUUAUUUAAUUGAAAACAGGACCGAAAUUUCAUAAUGUCACAAUUUAGGCUUAGUAAUCCAUUAGCCAAACCUUAAGUGGUGCGCUUGAGGUUAGGUUGCGACAGCUAGUUUCUCGCACAUCAAUGGGCAGCAGAAAAAAAAAAAGAAUUCUACAGUUUCGUGCAAAAAAAAAAAAAAAACAUAAUUUUUUCCAUGUUGAUAAGACUCGAGAAAUGUUGAAAUUUGCAGAAAUGUUGAUGAAAAAAGGACAGGUCGAUCUCAGAAUUUAGCACAGUUGAUUGGGACGUUAAAAAAAAUUUAGUUUAGAAAUUAAAGGUCAUUUAUAUAAAUCCCAUAAAAUGUGCUCAAACGGGAUACUGUAGGUUUUGGCUACCUACGUAGUCAUAAGUUAGGACUUAACCGGGCUUUGAGACUUAAAUUCUAUUGUUUGAUUUCGGCUCAUAUAGUAUCUUCAUCCAUUUUAGCUAGUCUUUUAAUAUCGUGAGAGGCCUUAUUAGGAAGAUACAUGUAUAUUUUCAAUAUAAACAACUAUCUAUUUCUUUCCUUUGAUUAGAGACGUAACGCCAUUUGGCAAAACUGUUUAAAAGCAAAUAUCAAAACAAGCAUGUCGUGAGAAAAAAAUUAGAUGAAAUUUCUUACGAAAUUAGAGGGAAAUUGAAAGUGGUAUUCAGGAAAAUGCUAGAAUGCUUUCAUAGGAUGAAUCACCAAUGAUCCACCGCUUUAAAUGAGGUACAAAGUAUGUAUCCUUGUUGCCAUCCACGCUCAAAAGGACGGUCAUGUCCAUCACCAAAAGACAAGCCAAACACUCACUACAGAAGACACAGAGUACCACGAGUAAUUCCAGAUUUAUUUGAGAGAAGAACUUCCGGAAUUAAGCAUAAGCAUCCGGGUUUUGGAGGAGGUAUGCUUCGACGGCUAUGUAUAUUCCUAAGCCUCUCUCUCUGCCAGCCUUGAUUUCUUCUUCGUUGAGCUGAAAAUUGCCCUUGGUGUAGUAUGUGCUGGCUAUCCUGCUCUUGCUCCCGCCGUCUGGUGUCGGCUCGAAAUUAACUUCGUAAGCAAUGGAUUCAAACUUCUCCAUCAAUUGACUGCCUUCAAUCAGUUUGUACACACACGUCAAUGUCUCUUCAUCUAGCAUAUCUACUCGGCUCUUAAUGAAACUGAGUUCCCUACCUGCGUAUGAAAUGGGAGAUACGUACUAAUUAGAUUUGAACUAAUCACAGAAGACAAAUAUCUUUAGGAAAAUUUGCCUGAUCAAACAAUAUAGCAUCUUAACAAUCAUCGUGUUUUUCUUUUUGAUGGGCCAUCUUAUUUCUAUGUCAUUACUUACGAAAAUGUGCAAUUCCAUUACACAAGAUUGGGAGUGUCAAUACUUAAAAACACCCGAAGAAACUUUACCUUCAGUGAAAUUGAUUUGCAUAAUGGUUCCGGCUCCUCCGUCGCCUUGGACGAUGUCAAUGCUCCCGAUAGCUUCAGGCAUGAGCUUGGGGAUAAGGUUGUGGAAGUCCCCAAUCAAGGCCCUAAAGAAUCUCGCCGCAGGAAUGGGGGAACUGUACUCAUCACUCAAUUUGAACACAACCAUGAUCGAUCUCUAGGGACUCGCCACUGAAAUUAUACGAACGAUGAAAUCAACUUUGCUUGACCUUAGUGUGAAGAAACGGCAAGGGAGCGCACUAUUUAUAGGUCCGAGAGGAGGUAGCCCUCGUUGAAUCGGAGUAUUUUUUUAAUGGCUCCAAAGCCCCAAAGAUAUCUUUCCUCGUCGCGAUUCAGAGGAAAGUUAAUAAUUCUCUCUAUAAUAACUAGUAAGGGUAUGUUCUGAGGUGCGAAGUCGGAGAGAAGAGUUGAUCGGGGCAGGGCGUGAUUCUAAAAGCGGGGCUAUGGAUAAUACAUGAUGGUUAGAGUGUGGUGUAGUGAAUGGAAAAACUUGCGGCCAUGCGAUUCGUGUUGCAUCUCAUCGUCUUAUAAUGCACACUUUCUCGAGAAGUCCACUUAAUCCGAGAGGAUUCUUAAACUGAUUAUUUCCUCGUGCCACAAUGGCAACUUCGUGUCCCCCACACUAAAUGUUAACCUCGCCGAUGUACCUUAAUAAUCGAACCGAAGGGCUUGACAAACAAAGUGAAUGCCCUCAUCAACCCCACUUGCAUUGACGAAUUAGCUUGCUAAGACAGAUCAGCCGGUUCCUAAGGCUGUAAAAGAGUAAAGGGCUAUCGUAUAACCUUACAAAGAAUUUAAUUCAAUGCUGAAGUUGGAUGACAACUAAAAGGUCUCGACUUAAGUUAUGAUUAAUUGGCCACUUGGUCAUGUGUUUUCAAGGAUAAUCUCUUAUGCCUUUUGAUGGUGCUGUUAUUAAUUAUACCAGGUCAAUUAAUAUAUCCAACCACAAAUAUUCGAAGUGUUUGCAUGCGAGUUGUUGUCAAGGCUUUGUCAUUUCUUGAUCAAGAGAUGCUAAAGAAUAUAUUUCGUGCUUCAUUGUUUUCCCAUUAAAUGCUCGCUCCAAUUUGAAGUUGAACAGUUGGCUUCAUAAGUUCAUAUAUUGCUAUAACUGGAAAGAAAAGAAAAGAAAAGAAAAAAUAAGAUGGAUAGCGUCAAACAGAUCUACCAAGAGCUAGAAUCGUUGUAAAUUCAGCAUAGUUGACUAUGAUCAUUAAUAGAGCAUAUAUAUACUCAAUCACAUAAACUCGUUACAAAUUUAUAUAGAAAUAUUUUAAAUAUCUUCACCUCUAAUCUAGUGAUAGAACUAUUUGGGUUACGACUACAAUGCAAAGAAAGGCCUAAUCCUAAUCAACCUUUCUUUUGAAUCACAACAAUAUACAUUAUACGUCAAUUUUAAAUAGAUGGAAUUCUCUAACAUUUAAUGUCUCGAAGCAUCAAAUGCAAUCAAUGGAAGGAACAAGCUAAGGGAAAAAUGCUACCCAUGAAAAAGUGCAUCCAAAUUUCUUCAAAUGCAUGAAAAUAACUUCGUUUACUAAUUUGCAACGUGUAUUUGAUAUAUGCAUCGCCGCAACAUUAUUAUACCUUAACUGUGCUCCGAGGCACUUUUUAACAAGGCAACGUGCUAUAGUAGAAUUGGAGAAACUUUAUUGUAAUAGCAACAACAUUAGCACUCUCAAUCAAGGAUUUCACAUAGAGAAGACCACAUUAUAAUUAGCAGAACUUAAUUGGUCCACAAAGAGAGAUGCAGAAUUUGCUUCAAACAGAGACAAUAAUACUAACAAAAGCUUUUAGGCAGAGGCCUCGGGGUUGGCGAAGAGAUAGGCCUCCGCGGCCUUGAAGACGGCCAUGGCCUUCUCUUUCCCGGCUUUGAUCUCAUCCUCACUGAUCACAAUGCCUGGUUUUGGGUGGUAGUUGCUCCUGUUCGUGCCCUCACAGCCCCCAUCGGGAGAUGCCUCCAUCUUGAUAUUUCAUAAGAGCUCGACUCGAUCUUGUCAGCCAAUUCGCCUCCCUCCACCAUUGUGCAGCUGUACGUCAUCUUCUCGUUGCCCAGUGCAUCGACUCUGGCUUUGAGUACUUCAUUUGACUGCCUGUAUUUAAAGGGCAAUUACGGAAUUAAAGUUGUCAUUAUCAUUAGGUGUAUUAUCAAGAAUCUCUCGACUCUGGUUAAGCCUUGCGGUAAAUAAUGAGGUUGCAUCCUUGUGUCGAAGAAGAGGACAGUCAAUUUAGGUCCUUCAAACCUCAAGAUGGCAUUCCGAUGAGAAAAUGUCCACUUUACCAUUAAAUGCUGGCUCCAAUUUGAUGAUGAACAGUUGGCUUCAUAAGUUCACAUAUUGCUAUGACCGGGAAAGAAGAAAAAAAGAAAAGAUGGAUGGCGUUGAUCAGAUCUACCACAGGCUAAAAUUGUUGUAGAUUCGGUAUAGUUGACUAUGAUCAUUAAUGAUAGAGCUUAUAUACUCAAUCACAAAAACUCAUUACAUGCUUAUAUAGAAAUAUUUUAAACAUCUUGACUUCAAAUCUAGUGGUAGAGCUCUUUGGGUUAGAGUCACAAUGCAAAGAAAGGCUAAAUCCAAAUCAAACUUCUUUUUUUUUUAAAUCACAAUGAUAUAGAUAUUACGCAUCAAUUUUAAAUAGACGGAAUUCUCUAAAAUUUAACAUCUCAAAGCAUUGAAUGCAUUCAUUGGAAGGAACAAAUCAAAGGAAAAAUGUUCUACUGUAAUAAGUACAUCCAAAUUUCUUCAAAAACAUAAAAACAAUCCUGUUCACUAAUUUCCAAAGUACAUCUGAUGUAAGUUACAUUUUAGCAAUUGGACCCUCUCUUAUAUCUUAUAUCCAACGAGAAUUGGUGCCUUUCAGUGAGCAACUAGUACAAUCUUGGGAUCAAGCCUUUUUAUUUGAAGUAAGCUCCUUGGCCAGCUUUCAUAGCAGAAGGGUAAUUCUCCAGUAGCUCUUCCACCCCCUACUCUCCAUGGGAAUUUAUCUUACAGUUCCCAACUAUAGUUGCCACUCAAUGUUGAGUUUGAAAAAAUGCCAGAAUAAGGACAAGGCAAUGGACUAUGAGACUCUAGCCGAGAAUUCAAAUUUGAAGGAAUAUACAUUGUUAAGGGAAAGUCUAUGGAGGCUCAAGCAAAUCAAAUAGGUAUGGAGCUUAAUUAUGCUAUUACGGAUUGUUUUUUUUUUUUUUUUUUUUUGAGUAUCUUCGCUUCAACACCUUAGCCAAGUCAAGUAAGAAGACUUGGUUAGGGGUCUACCUCAUUUAUCACCACACUUCUCAACAUGCGAAGGGCUUUAGCAGCUAGGCAAGCAACACCGUAGCCCUUUGAAUCCAAGUGACAAGCCCCUUUAUCUUAUAUGGAAAUUAAUGAAAUGUCAUCUAAGUCCUCAAAAUCAUGAGCUUGGGACUAGAAAUGCAGAGGAUUGGCUUAGCAUGUUAAUCUGCUCUCUCGUAGAAGGAAUGGAUGGAAGAUAACUUGCAAUCACAAUGGUUGUAACAAAGUUCUUGAUGACAGGGAACUACAUACGAAGAUGGCACUAGUUAGAAGGCCUUAGGACUUAAGCUGGCCAAAAAUAAACUCUCCUCUCUAUUAGAUUGACCUUCCCAGAUGGAUUGUUCCAUAGCUUGCUUAUUAAUAUGUUGGGUUACGCUAGUUGCAACAUCAUUAUAUCUUAACCAUGCUCCGAGACACUUUAUAACAAGGCGGAAUAAUAUAAUUCAUAGUACAUGAAAGAGGAACUUUAUUAUAGUAGCAAACCGAUUAGCACUCUCGAUCAAGGGCUUCCCACAUAGAGGACCACAUUAUAAUUAGAAUCGUCCGCGAAAAGAGAGAUGCAAAAGUUGCUUCAAACAGAGACGAUAAUAUAAAUAAAAAGUUCUUAGGCAUAGGUCUCGGGGUUGGCCAAGAGAUAAGCCUCCACGGCCUUGAAGACGGCCGUGGCCUUCUCUUUCCCGGCUUUGAUCUCCUCCUCAUUGAUCACAAUCCCUGGUUUUGGGAGGUACUUGCUCACGUUUGCGCCCUUACAGCCCCCAUCGGGAGUUGCCUCCAUCUUGAUUUCAUAAGAGAUCGACUCGAUCUUGUUGCCCAAUUCGCCUCCCUCCACCAUUGAGUAGCUGUACGUCAUCUUCUCCUUGUCCAGUGCAUCGAUUCUAUGCUUCACGAACUUCAGAGGACUGCCUGUACUUAAAGGGCAAUUGUGAAAUUACUAUUGUCGUAUUUAUUAGGUGGAUCAUCGAGAAUCUUUGUACUCCGGUUAAGGAUAGGUACGAAUACGAUUGAUCUUCAUUAUCUUGCGGGUAAAUAAGGAGGUUGCAUCCUUGUGUUGAAGAAAGGAGUCCUUCAAAGCUCAAGAUGGCAUUCCGAUGAGAUAAUGUCGAUUUUGUCUAAUCAUACUUCAAUUUUAUAUUGUCUUACCCCUCUUUUUUACGUACAUGUGAGUGCAAUGCUCACAGGGACCCAACCUAGGACCCAAUCCUCCCCCUAAUCCUUCUACCAGCGGGCCACAUGCCUGUUGGCAUCAUACCUCAAUUGACUCAUCUAAUAUUGGAUAUUCCCCCCUUUUACUUGCAUAACAAUCUUCUAACUACUUAAGAAGAAAUAGUGCUAAGAUACAUCAUGCAAGUAAUUAAUCACUAAAGUUGCCUCACC